rnacentral:lncRNA from 1 species
GAGAAGAAGCUGUUUUCCUCGCCGCAUUUGGCUCGAUCUAUGCCGCUGCUGCUACUGCUGCAUUUUCUUGUGCUACUGUCUUCUUCCUCUUCUUCUUUGGACACUUUGGACGGAGACUUGGGUGCCUUAUUGGAGAUCAAGGCCGCGUGCGACUCGGCCGGGAGGCUGGCGAGCUGGAACCGGUCCGACCCGUCGCCGUGCGCGUCCUGGCAUGGGGUCACCUGCGCCGGCAGCCGCGUCAACCGGCUCGUCCUUGAGGGCCUCUCCCUCUCCGGCCCGGCCUGCCUCCCGGCAGUGACGCGGCUCGACCAGCUCCGGGUACUCAGCCUUAAGUCGAACCGCCUCUCCGGCACCAUCCCGAACGUCUCCUCGCUCUCUGCGCUCAAGCUUCUGUUUCUCUCCCACAACCAGCUCUCCGGUCCCAUCCCGCCGUCGGUCGGCUCGCUGGUCCGCCUCUACCGGCUCGAUCUCGGCUCCAACAACCUCACUGGUCCGGUCCCGGCCUCGCUUAACCGGCUGUCCCGCCUGCUCACCCUCCGGCUCGACUCGAACCGGCUAUCUGGUCCCAUCUCCGGUCUCGUCCUCCCACGCCUCCAGGACCUCAACCUGUCGUCAAAUCUGCUCUCCGGCGGCGUUCCUCCCUCGCUCGCCGCCUUCCCCGCUACCGCAUUCGCGGAGAACCCGGCCCUUUGCGGCGGGCCCCUCCCCACCUGCCGCGUCCUCGUAGGCAAACCCAGCCGUCCCUCGGCGACCACUGUGGCCCCGGUUCCUCCUGCUGCUGCCGCCGCCGCCGAUGUCGUGGCAUCUUCUCCGUCCGCCCGGCCUGAGGUCGCCCCUCCGAGACGCCCCGCUGUCGACGCCAGCCGUGCGGGGAUGAACCGAAUGGCCAUGGUGGCCAUCGUCGUGGGCGACUUUGUCGUGCUCGUCCUCGUCUCCGGCUUCCUCUUCUGCUACUUCUGGCGCAAGUUCGCCGGGAAGAGCCCGUCCCGCCUUCACGAGGGGGAAAAGAUAGUCUACUCCUCCAGCCCUUACGCCGCUCAGGGCAGCGCCGCGGGUGCUCCGACUGGGAGCGGAUUCGAGAGGGGGAAGAUGGUCUUCUUCGAGGGAACGAAGCGGUUCCUGUUGGAGGACCUCCUGCGGGCCUCAGCCGAGAUGUUGGGGAAGGGCGGCUACGGGACGGCCUACAGGGCGGUGCUCGACGACGGCACCGUCGUCGCCGUGAAGCGCCUCCGCGAAGUCCUCGUGGGGGGCAAGCGCGAGUUCGAGAGCCAUAUGGAGAUCCUUGGGCGCUUGCGGCACCCCAACCUCGUCCCGUUCAAAGCCUAUUACUACGCUCGGGAUGAGAAGCUUCUCGUCUACGAUUACAUGCCCAACGGCAGCCUGUUCUUCCUUCUCCACGGUAAAGCAAUGUCGCCAUUCCAAGCACCCAUUUGCCUCAAAAAUUUGCUAUUUCAUCCAGGGAAUCGACUUAAAAUCUGAUCUUUCCAGGGAAUCGAGGGCCUGGGAGGACGCCACUGGAUUGGACGAUUAGAAUGCGGAUCGCAAUGGGGGCAGCGAGGGGAUUGGCUUUCAUCCACCAGGCGAGCCGGUCGCCGAAACUGACGCACGGAAACACCAAGUCCACGAACAUCCUACUUGACAAGGAGUGUAAUGCGAGGCUCGCUGACGCCGGGCUGGCCCUCCUGUGCCCUGCGGCGGCUGUAGCCGGUAGGGCCGGCGGGUACCGGGCCCCCGAGGCGCCGGGCGACGGGCGGCGCCCGUGGGCGUCCCAGCGGGCGGACGUGUACGCCUUCGGGGUGGUGCUUCUGGAGCUUCUGACGGGGAAGCCGGCGGCGGACGGCGGGGUCGGCGGCGAGGCGGCUGCGGACCUACCGCGGUGGGUGCAAUCUGUGGUUCGUGAGGAGUGGACGGCGGAGGUGUUCGACCUGGAGCUGAUGCGGUACAAGGGGAUCGAGGAGGAGAUGGUGGCCAUGCUCCGGAUCGCGAUGAGCUGCACCGCUCUGGCGCCGGACCAGCGCCCCAAGAUCGGCAGCGUGGUGAAGAUGAUCGAAGACAUCCGGGGCGGCGGCGGCGACCUCUCGCCCUCCCACGACUCGUUCGACUCGGACUCUACUUCCGUCUCGGAUACGGCCUAAACCGUCGGAUCGAGCCAUCGCCACCAAUCCAUCCCAAUUCUCUCCUCUUCCUGUGGCAAGGACUCGACUUUGAGAGCCGUUGGAUGAUGGGGUUUGUGUUCAUGUAAAAACGAGGCUUUGUUUGGUUGUUUUCUUGUCGACUCAUGCAGUCACUGUUUUCUUUAAUGUCGAAUUAAAUCUUAAACAAAAUCCCUGGAAAAACACCAUCUUUGGAUGCUCAGGUAGUUGCGUGAGUGCUGUGUCAUUUAAGAUCCAGUUGUUUUGUCUCUUGGUGGUCUCAGGAAACCAUUAGAGAUCAGGAGCAGGGAUAUAGAUAGCACUGCCAACUAUUGGGAACUUGUCAGUGUGACUUGUUCUACUGCAUGUCUUUUACUGGGAGCUGUAGGUUACAGGCGAAAGAGGGGACAAGAAGACGGUGCCCACGCCGGAACGAUAUAAUCGGCGGAUGGUAGCAGUUGGAACAUUUGUGACGCGGGUCAUCGUUGUCGGACAGAUGAACAAUGAUAUCAACGUCGACAGCCUCUCUUUUAACUUCGAGAUAGUAUCAUUGGGUUGUGUGGGAAUCCACGUCGUAGUUACCGAGAAUUUGGAGGGCAACCGAAGGUAAACAUCUCAAUAAUCUGAAGUAGAAGUACGAACGAAGAUGAAGUGGUCUCUUACUCUUGCGACCUCGGUGAAAAAGGAGAUGGCCGGCCAUUCAUGGGUAGGGAAAGAUGCAGAAGACAAAAGGCCCCAUGAGCAGGGGAUUUACAGGUCAUGCGGGGUAGUGACGUUAACAGUUGUGUUGGUAGAUGCCAUUAUUCGUCUCUCGGGCAUCUCUCAAAGGCUCUCUCGACUCCUCCUCCUGCAGCUCGGAGUGGAUGAACACACCAUGAUAGUUGCUUGGGGGGACCUCUUGCUACCAUGGUUUGGUGAUGGCUACUCUCGGUGGCCACUGUUCCUGCACACACCAGACAAACUCAGACUCUUAAGAUUCCUCCAUCUGUUGUCCCACAUCAAUGACUCACAUCAUGUCUAUCUCCAUUUUCUUGGGUACAGUGUCUGAGCUGCUCCUUAUUUUAAUAUGUGCGCCGGAAAUUGUUUGCUUGCUUUACGAGAAGAAGACAUGAGAGAGCUCAUCAGUCGAGCGUAGAGCACUCUUCAAUCAUUGGCCGCUCACCGACAAGGCCAUGCUUAAUCGCAGGAGGAUGGACUAAAUGUGGUUCCAGAACAAGUGAAACUGGUUGGUCGAGCUAUCUCAUUCAUCUUGCACUAUAGAAUUUAUUGGAUGCACAGAGAUCUGGAUUUAAUAAAGCCAUUACACGAGUGCCUUAAUGCGGCACGACACACAACAUUAUGCAGACACAUAAAAGCUAAGAUUCGAAUUGUUCAGAUCUUAAUAAUUAUAUUGUUCAAGUAAUUUUAGGAUUUAUUCAAAUCUAGGAAUAUGAUGAUAAAUAAUUAAUCUCACUAAUUAAAAUUAUGUCAUUAAAUUAUGUAAUAUGAUCUGUAAAUUGUGGACCGGAUGGGCCUGGGCCGGUUGGAGGACCCAACCAGGUGAAACCAGUUCGGGUCCGGUUCGAGUCAGGGUCCGACUAAACCAGAUCGGUGCGAGCGGGUCGGCUCAACGAGCUCUGUUUCAUCGCGCGCUGAUCUGCCAAUCUCCCCUUUAUCUCCCGCCCCUCUCCUCUGCCGUCAGCGAUCUCCCUUCGUCUGCCGACAUCGACCGUCACCUGUAAGUGGUUUCGUGUCCGUUUUCACCGGCCGCCUCCCUCACAUCCGACGGGUUCCGAUAGAUCGCCUGAAUGGGGGAAAUCUGGAGAAACCCCUUCGAUUUCUUUUCCAUUGCAAUCUUGUCGACCUGUGGUUUCGUGUACGUUUCCGGCGGCGCCUUCCUCAUCUCUGACGAUUUCCAGUAGAUCGCUGUGUUCUGUUAACGGGAGAAAUUUUGAGAAAUCCCUUCGGUUUCUUUCCCGUAGUUAUAUUUUGUCCAUCUGUAAGUGGGUCCGUGUCCGUUUCCAGCGGGCCGGACAGUGCCGCCUCCCUCAUCUCCGACGACUUUCAGUAGAUCGCCGCCGCGCUCCGUUUUUUUUCUGUAGUAAUCUAGUCCACCUGUAAGCUAUUCCUUAUCCGUUUCCAGCGGCCCCGACAGUGCCGCCUCCCUCAUCUCCGACGACUUCCAGUAGAUCGCCGCGGCGGUCCUUUUCUUUUUCCCGUCGGGGAAAUCUGGAGAAAUCCCUUCGAUUUAUUUCCGUUAUCUUGUCGACCUUUGCUGAGCCCUGAAGGUAAUCUUUAAUUUUUGUGUGUUCGUCUGGAAUUCGCCUGCUUAUCCCAUCCCCUUGUUCUUGUUCGAUGAUAAUAGGCCACCUUUCUCUCUAAUAUGGGUGGAAACGAGUUCCGUUUCUUCCUUUCUUGUGACAUAAAUCUUCCCGUGACCUUCCGGAUAGAGAGACUCGAAGGUUGUCUGCCUAAUCCUCCGGCUGGUAAGUCUUCUUCAUUUCUGUUUUGUCCUAGGGUUUCAUGAUUUUGAAUGUUUCAAUUUUUUUUGUUUGCAUAAAAUAUCUACUGGUAAACAAUGCAAAUAUAGAUACAUGCCAAUAUGAAGUUUGAUGAUAUAUAAUUUUUUUCCAGCAGAGAGUAGAACAGGGAUGUUAUAAAAUUAGAAUUGAUGAAAACAACUUUAGAAAGUAAAAGAAAAUAUUAUCAUGCUCAUUGGGCCAAGUGGGAACAUCGAAAGGACAUUCAUGAGUCUCCUGUCAAUGCAGUGCUGUGCCAAAAUAUUAUUGGCAUGUGCUAUGUUUUGGAAAGGCUAAUUUCUGGCUUUUGACGACCAACAUGGUUAGAAUGGUAACAAAUAAUUUGAUGCCAUCGAAGAACAAUACUUGGAUUAAGAUAUUAGAUUAAGUAGGACUAAUUUUAAACACAGGUGUAACUUAAAUAAUAUGGAGAGAGAAUUGAACAUAGUUGAAAGCGAUAGUCGAGGAUCUUUGAAUUAGAAACUCUUAGUAUGAAUUGGUUUUCAAAGAGAAAGGGGAGAUCAAGCAGACAUCAUAAAUAUAUUUGAAUGAGAUGUUUAAAAUGUAGACAGUCACUCGGAAUAUUGUGUAAUCAUUAAAUUGCUUAUAUCAGAAAAGAAACUUAUGUGAAAGCUACUAUGUCAAUAAUUUAUGGUCACAGUUUUGUGGAUCAGGAAUGAUAUAUGUAAAACUGUAGUUGAGAUAAUGAUAUUACAAUGAAAAUCUUGUGGUACUAGGAAAAAUAGAAUAACAACUGUUUAUACAUUUUGAAAAAUGAGGGUAACAGCGACCAAUAAUCAAAUAAAAAUAUUUAAUGAGGGUUAAACUAAUCCAAAUAGGACCUAGAGAUUCACUAGUAAGACAAAGUGAACUGAUUUAUCUAAUAUGUUGGAGACAGAAGAGUGUAGAAAAGACUUGGUUAAGAGUACUAACAAAGGUCACGUUGAUGUCUUGAUGAUUAAAUUAUUUAGUGACACUAUCCUCAAUAGAUAUCUGUCAUGAGAAAGGAUUCAUGUGUGUAUCUCCAAAAGCUUUGUUAAUUGUUCUUUUUAUUGUCUGGACCAUGUAAGUUGAGCAACAUUAAUUCUUCAGUUUUCUUUCUUGUGAUACCAUUGUUGGAUGUCUCAUGUCUAUUUUUGCCAAUUUUUCAGAAAUUGAUUCGCCGACUGGGAACAGAAAUGCAGAGAUUUUCGUGGAGUGCACCUUGCACAUUGAUGGGGCUCCUUUUGGAUUGUCAACAAAAACAAGGUUUUCUUGUCCUUUUACCUUCCAGGCAUAUGUUAUGCAUGAUUAGUUACUAUAUAUGUUACCUUUUUGAUCUCUUAGUCAUCGCAUGAUUUAGGACAUUUGUCAGUCUCAUGCCAGGUUGGAAGCAUCGGGAUGUCCAUAUUGCUGGAAUGAGCUUAUUACAUUGACUGCAAAGUACCGGGACCUGACUUCACGUGCCCAACUUGCUUUUACUGUAAGUUGUUCAGUCCAUUUUGCUUUUAUAAUAUAUAUAUAUAUAUAUAUAUAUAGUAACUUGAAUUCUGUGAGUUCUUCAGAUUUCAGCAUUAGAAGCUGUAGAUCAUUUUCGUGCACUUAUGUAAGCAUUUAUUUACUUGCUUAGUUUUCUGGGUGAACAUAAAAGGAAAAGAAAAUCAUAUUAUAUUUAGCAUUACUCUGCAAAUUUCACUUCCUCAACUUCAAGGAAGACAACCUUUAAAUAAUGAAUUCUUUUAUCACCCUUUUCAGUAUUUUGUUAUUAAAGACCAUAUUCUCUGGAGGUUGAUUAUUUGAUUUGUUAGAUUGCUGCUAACACUUUGAGAGGAACUUUCUUGGACAAUUUUUCCUUAGAUUGGUAUGCUAAACAACAUCUUGUCAUAGUUUGAGCUCUUAAUUUUCUUCAUCAAAGGAUAUGCGGCUGCAUAUAUCGCACAUGUGCUACGAGGUACCUUCGCCUCUUGCAUGCUAAGUCUGCUUUGUCCUGCUUUGGAGCAAAAAGUGGCACAAGUUACAUGCAUUUGUCUUUAUUAUUAUCCUUUUGAACAUCUUUAGUGGUAAAAAUAACAGCCCAAUCAAAACUCCUCACCUGAAACAUUUUGUGGUGCUCGGCUUCGCCUCGCCUCCAUGGGUGCUUAUGUGAGCACCUGCCUCAUGACAACACUACUUUGUGCUAAUAUGCGUUUCACUGUACAAUAAUUUUUUUAUGUUAUUGACAAUCCCAGUAAACUUGUACCAUAUCAGAAAGACAAACUAUACUUUGACUUGUAACUAUCUUUCUAUGAGUUCUGUUUCAUGUUGUGACUUGAAUAGUGACUGGCUGAUGUGACACACAUUCAGGGGGCAAGAGGGGGUCGGGAUCAGUGAUGGCAUGCUUUUGGAAGUGUGCUACAUUUGCAACUCUGCCUUAAGUGGGGCACUGAAUUGUGGCACACAGCACACAGCACACAGCAUACUGCUUGUUGUACUUACAAGAUACUCGAGGCAGCUAAAUGCUAAUAUUUUGUAUAGAAGCUCACAUGACUAAUCUCUUAUGAUUGUCAAAGGGUAAUAUGAUUUAACAAAAGCUGUUUACUUUUAAGGUUGAUUUUAUUAAUCGUGAGUCAAUCGUAUCAAGAAUCUCCACAGGACAGGAGUAUGAGAGCCUCUUUUACUACUUAUUGGAUUAUCACUAGCGUAUGUUCAUUUUAAUUUUUGUUGAUAGGUUCCUUUACUUGAUAUUGUCAUUGCUGCUUGUGCACCUCUGUAAAGCCUACCAUCGCAUUGCAUAUGGUUGGAUGUUAAGUAAAUUGUACUUUAUUCAUCAUGCGAGGUGUCAAAGCAAUUAAACCUUGAUAAAUUUACCUGGAUUUCUAAAUAACAGCUUUAUGAUAUGCUAUUCCAAGUUUCAAAUAUAUUAAGUUGCCUAUAUGUGAUUUAAAAAUUUGACCUUGAAUCUGUACCAACACCUCCAUAGAUGUCCUUAAUAAGAUGUUACUAUAGAAGUUGAAUAUGAAUAAACUUUUACCAAAAUGAGAAAACUACCAGGUUCCCUCUUUUAAAUUCAUAUAUUCUUAUUCACUAUCUAUUUUUCAGUUUCAACAGUUAACUUGUUUUUUACAGCUUUUCUCCUGAUUUAGAGAAAGUCACUGGUUUUGGUUUGAUGAAUCACAUGGAAUUCUAUUUUUUUAGUAUUUCUAUGAUUUUACAAUGAUUUUUGCCUCAUGUAUCUUCUUGAGCUCACGAUUGGCUUCAGUGUUCUAAAAGCCGAGUUUAUGGCUCUCUUUGCUUGUAGGUUUGGGAUGUCUCAUGUGGUAAUGACAAUGGUUUAGUUGGUGGAGCAACAGUUUUUCUUUUUAAUAGGAAAAAACAGUUGAAAACAGGGAGGCAAAAGCUUCGACUUUGGCCUGGAAAAGAGGCAGAUGGAGCAAUUCCGACAACUACACCAGGAAAGGUUAUUGUCAGGUUUUAGUUGAAUUCUUUUCUUCAUGUAAAUAAUGGUCAAUGAACCCUAGUUGUCACUUUGUUACACCAAAUCGACAUUCAUGACAUUUUCCAUAUUUAUGUAUCUAUUUAAAUGCUUACAAAUUGGCAGGUCUCCAAGCAUGAGCGUGGUGAGAUAGAACGUCUGGAGAGGCUUGUAAACAAGUAUGAAAGGGGCCAAAUACAACAGAUUGAUUGGUUGGAUCGUCUUACCUUUAAAACUGUUGAUAAAAUUAAGGAAAGAGAAAGCAUUACGAGUGAAAACUCCCACCUUAGCUUGGUUGUAAACUUUUGCAGCUUUGAGCACAGGGUUGUUUUCCAGGUUAGUUCUUAAGAACUCAUUGGUUCAGUGGCUUUUAUUUGUUAGCCAAUAUCUCAAAUUGUUUGCAUUAUGUAAUUUUAUCUUGUAGGGUUUUUUACUAAUCACAGAAAACAUAUUUAUUAACAUUGUUGUUUGAUUGCUGCAAUUUUUAUCAGAACUUCAGUUUGGUGGCAGAAUUGAAGUAUCAUUUUUUAGUAAUUACAAAGUUAACUUUGGAAAAGUUUAUCUUUUAGAAAUUGAUCACUUCUAUGAACUUUUUGCAGUUAGUAGCAAUUUCACCACUAUACAAUCUCUCAGAGAAUAUUCAAGUGAUUUAAUCAAGAUUUCAUGUGCAUCACAUAAAAAAAGAAAAAAAGCAUUAUUUCUACCUUAAGCCAAGCCUUGGCAUCAUGAUGGUGUUGAUCCUUCACAAACUUGGAUGACCAUAAUUCGAGUCAUGAAAUUGCACAAUUUUUUAUUUUCCCCUCACCUUGCAUUGGUAGGAUCUGUACUAGGUCACACCUUUUUUACGAUUGUCUUAUGUGCUAGGCCACUCUUUUUUUAUGUUUUAUUGCCAUAAUAUUUUUUCCAUUGUAUGAAUGCAAAUUUAGCGCUAGAAGUCUUAUUCAUCACCAAGUUAGAUAAUCUAACAAGAUUAUGGAAUUAACUUGUUUUGCAUAUCAGUCUUUUCCCAAGUGAUAAGGAACAGCUUCUUCGGAACAAUCAAUUCUGAUCUGAUCGAUCCAGUUAAUGCGGAUCUUGAUUAGCCACUUGCGAACCUGAUUUGUCACUUUCUAAACUACUGCUGGCAAUUGCCCAAGGCCACCAAGCUGAAUCAGUUUAAAAUUGAACAGAAUUGGCUGAUCCAGGAUAAUGAUUCAAUGGAUUCUAGCAAAUAUGUUUUUGCUAGUUUAAGAAAUAGAACAAGAGAGAGCAGAUGAUGUCGGAGGAAAGGGAAGACGAAAAGGGGAAACAAAUAACCUGUCUUGUUGCUGCCCUUUAUAUUUCAUUGAAUUGCCUUUUUCUUCUCUUAUUGCUGCAAGAGAUAGCAAGAGAGAUAGUAAUAGAUGAGGGGAUCUGUGGGUGUCUUUGAAUUCACAUGAAGACUGGAGUUCAUAAUUUUGCCUUCAUCAUUCUAUUUUUAUAUUUUAGUUUUAACUAUUUUAAAAUUAGAUUUUGUAAUAAAAUAGUCUUUUGUGUAUCCAAACUUUUAUUUUCUUCAAUAUAUUUUUUAUGUGUUCUUUGUUUUCCCCUUUUAUUUGAACUUUUGAUUUGUAGAUUAAUAUUUGCUCAUUCUGAUUCGACUGAUCCUAGGCCAUACACCAAUCCUGACAUUGAUUCUGAUCCUGUGAACCCUGUUUAGGAGUUUAUCUAGUCUUCUCCUACAUAGUGUUAUGAAGUAACUGUUUUCAGUUUGUUUGUCUUGUUCUGUGUUACUAAUGCCAUGAAAUUGCAUAGAAUAGAUGUUGAGGUUUCUUGUUAGGAUCACUCUUCGAGCUAGCUUUCAGGAUAUGAUAUAUGAAUCCUGGUGAGGGUGUCAUCAAACAUGUUCAGUGGCUUGUCAAAGUUUUGAUAGAUGAAACAUAGAAUUAUAUCCUUUAUUAGGGAAUAAAUGACAAGUUUGGGUAUUGCUGCUUUCUGCUCAAGGGCUUGUUGCAUGCUUAGCCACGUAGCAUGAUUUAACUAUGCCCUGUCCUUGUUUUAAAUACUAUUGUCAUCUCUUUGUUUAGAUUCUUCAAAGCUGUUUGAUGAAUAAGGUCUUGGUGCUUAGAUUCUAUAGCUUCUGCAUGAUGAGCAUAGAUUUUAUGUAAUAAGGAAUUUUUUCUUCCAGCAUCUGCAAUUGAUUCAUGAAAAACUUGAAUUCAGUAUCAUAAAUGUUGCUGGGGAGGUUGGCAAAAUAUGAUGGCAAUAGUGAUUGAUAGGCCAUAUGCUCUUUGUUUGAUCCAUUUACAAUUGUUUGGGAAGAGCUUACUUGGCACUGAUUAAAGACCUCGUACGUGGUUUAAUUUUUCUGUUGUCUUGGAAUAGUUGGUAUACUUUUGGGUUUCUAGGUGAAGAGUGAAUUUCAGUGUUGGUGAACAUUUUUACAUAAAUUUGUUGCACAAUUGCAAAUUAAAUCUGUUUAUGUUAUUUGGUUCUCUUUCUCAACUUCAAUUUGAACUAGUGGAAUUUCAUCCAAUAAUUUAUAUUUAGUUAUUUGAUUUGGGCUUAAGGGACUGAACCCCUUAGUAAAGUGGCUUGAGAAUUGGUUGUCUAUUUUUCUGUUUCUAGUAAUGUAGCAUAUUAGGAAUAGAAAUGUUCUUGCUAUUUAAAUUUUCCCUUUAUGUUGAAGUUGUCUUGAUUUGUUUAUGCAAUCUGUCAAUGAUCUAUUGACUCAGGAAUCAUUGUUUUGUGAAUUGAGAUCACCCAUUUAUUUGCUUGACUUGCAGGAGUCUGGAGCGAAUUUUUUUGCACCAUCCCCUGUAUCUUCGACAAAUGAGCUUGUUACUGUAUGGGAUCCUGAAGUUGGAAGGACAAAUCCUUCAGAGCACAAGCAAUUAAAGCUUGCUAGAAGCUUGACUCGUGGGAUUAUUGAUAGGGAUCUCAAACCAAGUGUUAACGAAAGGAGGUAAUUUUAGACUGCAAUUAUGGCAUUUAUCAUUUCAUGUAGCAUUUCUAUACCUUCAGUACCUGGCCUUUUUCAAUCUGCUUUUCUGAGGUAGUCUAUCUGUGAUAUUGUUCCAUACCUGACAUUUUUUUCACAUUUUUAACACAAGAAUUUCAUUAUGCUUUGUGCUUGAACCUUUAGGCUAAUAACAAAUAGCCUACAGGAAACAUGGGCUAAAGAAUGCACUUUCAUGGUUGUGGGGACGAUGAGAUAGUUUAUGUACGUUACACCACAGAAAGUUCCUAGCAGGUUAUUUUUAUGCCAAAUGAAUCUUGUACUUCUGUUAUGAGGCAUUUCCCCCUAGGCUUGAAGGCAGAAAAAAUAUGUAGGAAGUACUGGCUGUCAUCUAUUUUUUGUCCAAUGAGUAUGGAUUAUGAUGAUUAACUUUAUCCACAAAAGCACUUCUAUAUGCAAAGGCAAUAUUAUCCCUUUCCUUCUAGCUUACGAUGAUGUAUGAUCUGGCAUGAAGGUUAAUACAGGGAAUCCUGAAGUAUCCUCCAACACGUGCACUAACUGGUGACGAGAGACAAUUAUUGUGGAAAUUUCGUUUUUCUUUGAUGUCAGAGAAGAAGGCCCUCACCAAAUUUCUACGCUGUGUUGAAUGGAGUGAUGUUCAGGUUAGAAUCUUGUAGCUCACUCAGAUGCUGCUUCAAUAUCAUAUUGUUGUUUCUUUUUAAAUUUGCUGUAUUUCCUUGUCUUCUCUGAGUCUUCUGUGAAUUAAUCUUGCAUAUGUCCAUGAAAUGUUGCACUUUGUGCAUAUGCUGCUGAUUAAUAUCUUUCAUCUAAUGGUAAUUAUUUUAGCAUGUAAUCAUUCCCCAUUAUAGGAGAGUUGGAUUACAUUUCAGAGUGAAUUUGGAGUUUUUGGUCUCUGCACAUUCAUCUGAUACUUGGACCUCUAGAUUUUUUCUGUCAUAUGGACUAAAUGUGAUCUUUUCAUUGAAAAUAUGCUGCUUCAGUGCUUUAGAUCUGUCAUGUGUAUUUUUUGGAUAUAUUAGCUUCAUAUUGGUACUUAGAUUCUUACAGCUGUUCAUCAUGUCCAUCGAAGUUGGCACAUUCCUUGGGAAAUGCAAAUUUUAGUAUUAAUAUUUUUUUUAAAAUUUAUGUACUUGUGUUAUAUGACUGUCCAAACGCUUCAGCGUUAUCUAGGCACAUUAAAGAAACCAUGGUUUGCCGUACCGAACAGUACCGCCCGGUACGGGCGGUACGUACCGGUCCGACAGACUUUCGGUACGCGGACCGCCUCUUACCGUUCCGGUACACCCGUACCGUACCGUACCGAGCGCGGGUCGAAACGCCGGUACGGUACGGUACGGCGAACCUUGAAAGAAACAAUAUUAGUCUUCAUGAUUGAUAUUUUGUACUUGUAUAAUUUCGUCACCAAAUGUUCCUGAUAUAUCUCUUUCUGCUAUAUUACACAUUUAGGAGAUUCAUCAUUGGUUUUUUAACUGCCAUUUAAUUUAUGAUAAAUCUUCCACAGGAAGCAAAACAGGCAAUUGAUUUGAUGGGAAAGUGGGAAACCAUUGAUGUCACCGAUGCAUUGGAGCUUUUGUCUCCUGUUUUUGAAAGUGAAGAAGUGAGAUUAUAGAAAGCUUUUGUUGUUUCUGUAUAAUGUUUAGCCUAGAUACUUAGUGUCAUUGACUAGUGAUAUUUGUCCAAUUUUCAUUGAAAGUUUAAUAAACAUUAUCUGAUAAUCUGAUAUGUCUAUUGUGGGGAUGGUACUCAUUUAUAAAUAGUGUAUUCAAUAGGCUGGACUUUUAAUUCACUUCAAUAUUAUGUUUAAUGUUACAAUCUCACUUGACAAACUUGCUAGGCAGGUCCAUUCUAGAUUUAUUUGUCAGUAUAACUUAUCAUCAUUUUCUAAUGUUGGAGCAUCACAGUUAAAUUAUAAGUUUUUGCAUGAUAGUUUCUCUCACUUAGGUUUGAUGUUCUCCUCAAGGUGCAACACGUAGCAUAUGUAUCUUAAAAUCAUAUCCUACAACAUAUGGGACGCAUAUAACCAUAAAGCAACUUCAAAUCAUGGUAUCCCUUGUACUGUUCAUGAUUAGCCCUUUCAUCUUCAAUCUACUAAUUGUCAGCUAAUUUGAUUAGAAUAUUUGAUGAUUUUAAGAUUUCUUUAAGAUACUUGUUUUGCUUACCUUAAUACAUGUCAACAUCUCAUCGUUAUUGUCUAAGAAUCUCCCCCAUGAAUGACUUCAAAAGUGCUUUGUACAUUUUAGUUGGAGUUCAUAAUUAUUUGAUCUUGUUACAUGGAUGAAACAUAAUUCUAUGAUAUACGCGAUGUUAACAAUAUCUUUUAGAGCAUAUAUAUGGAUUAUCUUGAAACCAACUAAUGUAAUCUAGAACUGACAGUGGUUGCUGCAAAUUGACACCACUUCCUGAUAUUUUUAGUAUUAGAGGUGAUUUCAUAUUGAUAAGUAGCAGCUAUUCACAUCUGAUCCUGAUGGAUGAGAAGUUGACACACAUGAUCAAUUACCUAAAUUACAUAAAUAUUUUUACUAGUUAUCAUGAACAACUGCACGUGAUUCAUUUUCUGAUAUGAUACUUCAGUUAUCAAUUACAAAUUCCUCUUGUUCAAUGUGUUCUAAACAGGUUCGUGCAUAUGCUGUGAGUGUUCUUGAGAGGGCUGAUGAUGAGGAACUCAAAUGUUAUUUACUUCAGCUAGUGCAAGCUCUUCGUUUUGAGAGAUCGGAUAAGUCUCGCUUGUCACAUUUUCUUGUGCAACGCUGUAUGUUAUUUUAACCCAUUACAAAUUCAAGUGCCAUUAGUACCAAGAACAGUUGCAAGACUGCUUUUUACAUUUUUGGUUGUGGAUAUUUAACUAUGUAAGCAUAUUGUAUAUUUUGUACUUAAAAUUAUACUUUCCCUUGCAUUUCAGGUCAUCAGGAUAAGUAGUCUGAGAUUUGGUAGAUUUUUGUUUGUGAAAAUAUAAAACUUAGAGAACAAAAAGGUAAUUGAGGCAUGUGAUAGUUAAGAGAGGAAAUCACUUAACUAUGAAAUGACAAAUUGACCCUACUAAAGGAUUUUGGGAAUUGGGAUUACCAUAACGGGUAACAAGAUGGAGAUGUCAACUGUCUAUUCAAUGUCACUUAGCACAGUUAGAAGGUGAAGUAAUUUAAACCAGAGAACUUCUUUUCACUUGUAUUGGUACGUUACGAUUGGUAUUUACCAGUCCCGGCAUGAACCAGUACAUGGUCCCAACCCAUUUCAGGAUGUCUUGUCUGGGUCAUAUAUAAAAGAAAAAAAUAGUUCUCACACUAAUCUUCCUAAUCGCAAACCUGAACAUGUGAUCUCCCUGCCGCUGCCUACCUCCCUGCUUUCCACCACACAUCACCGACCAGGUAUGCUCCUCUUCUCCUCCUCCUCUUCCUCUUCCCCCACUGCCACAGCAUCUUCCUUCCUCAUUCUCCUCCUUCAUCUUCCCAUCUUCUUCCUUCCUUUUCCUCCAUCGCCUUCUCUUCCUCCUUCCUCCUCUUCCUCCAUCACUUCCUCUUCAUCCUUCCUCUUCCUUAUCCUCUUCUUCUUUCGCCUUUUUCCUCCUUCACCACCACCUCUUACUUUCUCUUCUCCUUUUUGUUGUUCCUCUUUGAGUCUUCAGUACAUGUGUGCCAGUCGAUACUCCGACCGGUAGAGUACCCCACUAUGGGAUUACAAUCCUUGAUCCUAGGUACCUGUUUGCUCAAUUAAUAUCAACUUAUUGUUGCCUUCUUUGCUCGUUCCUCUGCUGAGUGAUUGUUGACAUUCCUUCAUGCUGCUCUUCUACUGAUAAAUGAAUAUUCAUUCACUUCAAGGAUCUUUGAUGAUUUGGUCUUAGUGUCUUUCAUUGGGUAUUGAACAUUUUUCAUUUUUAUUAUUAUGAGAUAAUGGUUAUCUAUUAACGUUUCUUUUAUUGGGUAUUGGACGUUUUUCAUUGUUAUCAUUGAGAUGAUGAUUAUCUAUGAACAUAUUUUUAUUUCCUAACAUUUGUAUAGGCUUUCCUUUAUUUUAUCUAUUUAACCUUUUUGUGCUGUUUCUUCCCCAACUUUUACAGCUUUAUCAAAUAUCGAGAUAGCUAGCUUCCUUCGUUGGUAUGUAGCAGUCGAGCUUCAUGAUCCUGCUUAUGCAAAGCGUUACUAUUGUACUUACGACAUGCUGGAAGAUAGUAUGAUGAGAGUAUAAUUUUAACUUUCUUUGCAAUGCCUUUCUUUUCUGUUAUUUCUCAAAUUAUUUUGUUAAUGAUGUAAUGCAAAUUUUAGAACAUAAUAGGAAGCCACAUGUCAUGCACAUGGAUGUUCCUUCAAAGGACUACUUUGGAGUUACUUUUUGGAGAUGAUUAAUGGCUUUAUACCAUCUCUUAUCAUUACCCAAAUUAUCAUAGGGCUAUGGACAUGACAUUUUUUCUGGCCAUUUCGGUCAAUGUCUUUAGUUGUCACUACGCCUAUACUCUAUCCCUACUAGACUACAUCAGCAUAUGAUGCCAUAGUUGUCACUCUACCUAGAAUCUUCCAAGGCUGGUCAAUUGGCACUCUGCCUGGUAGCAUACUCGUAUAUCAUCCAAGGCCACCAUUUUUAUUGGGUUAUUAUCUACAUGAUCAUGGUCUCAAGUCAGGUAUGAUGUCAUAUCUGUCAUGAAACAUAUGUGGAACCUCAUGAUAGAUAUGAACUUUUUUGAUUACUUGGUCCAAUAGAAAAGUCUGUCAUAUUACGAACAUGGUGAUAUAUGUAUAGAUGUUGUAGCCAUCAUGUUUCACUUGCCAACAUGAGGGAUUCUUGUGAUACAAUGAGCCUUAGCAAAAACAUAAAAAAUUUUAGGGAGACUGGCACCUGUGUGCCAUAUCAAAGAUCCACUAAAAUUGGAAAAAUAUAACUCCACUGAAAAUUGCUACUAUGCAUUAAUGUACUAUAAUUUAGUCAUCAGAUCAAAUAACUAAAAAACAAUAUUGAAUGUCUUUUAACCUAUUAGAGGCAACAACUCAAGUCUACAGAAAUACCUAGCACUUUUUGUAAUUUGUUAACCUUCAAAGACUUGAACAGUUUAGGAGAGGGACCAACCUAACCUGCUAUCUCUUAUUUUCUCGCCUUCACCAAAUAUCUCCAUCUCCAGCAACUUCAUGCUUGUCACCUCUUUAACGUUCACGAUGUUUGCAUGGCCACUGCCCCCUUCUCCUUUAACACUGCUCAAUGACAGUCUCUACUUUUCCCUGCUCUUUCACCUUGUCGCUUUUCUCAAAAUGGCCUCUCUCUUGUUCCAUUUUAUCCCAUCUGACCAUCCAUUUGAGGCAAUUUUGCCUCCACUGUGCCCCCUAGAAGAUCGAGAUGAAAGCCUCUCAUUAAAAUGCUUGGACAAUUGUCCCUUUGCAUAAUGUAGGGAGUUCUGGCUUGGUCACAUCAGAUUCAUCAGCAAAUCAUCAGGGAUGUUCUAUGCCACAUCGUGAUGUACAAGUUGGUUUCGCUCUUUUUCUGUCGUAUCACUGUCUAGUGAACAACUUAGGUGCAUAUCUGUUGAAAGUUAGUCAAUUUUUUUGAUAGAAUUUUCCUUUUCAAUGUAUCUAUGAACCAACUAAUGACAUGUCAUUUUCUUAAGAAUUCCAUCCAUUGUGUUUAUUUUUCUAUUUAAUGCUAAAAAAUCAUCCUAAUUAAUAUUGAAGAGACUUUAAUUUAUGUUCAUUAAUAAUACAAUGAUAAUUAUUGAAUAUGCAACUUAUAAUUAAUGUUCAAAACUCUAGUUUAUUUGUCUAUAUUGUAGAUUUGAAACUCCCAAAUAGUUGGUACUUUAUGGUUUUGUUGUUGUACAUUUGAAACCGAUGUUUAAAUAUUGUGUGAAUGUUAAAUAUUUUAGAUAACUUUACAGAAAGCCACAUGGUCAUUUCAAUGUUGCUUAACAUGCAUCAUUGUUAUAGUUUGUAUUUAAAAUGUAAAAUAAGAAAAGCAACUGGAGCCUCUUGCACUUGGUUGCUCUUCUUUAAUAAAAGAUUUUGACAAGAGUCCAACGCUGUGUUUGAUAAACUGACAUGAAGCAUGGGCAUGAAAAUACAGGUAACUCUGCAUGACAGACCCAUAUAAACUUUUAUUGGCAGUUCAUUGCCUUUAUGACAAAUACUUCAAAUGGAUCUGAAUUAGUACUGAUUGCAAAUUUAAAGGAAAUACGACUCCCUAAACCCCACAUUGGUUGGAGUCUCAUGCAUUAAACUGCCUUUUUUUGUCUUGAAAAAUAAAAAAAGAACAGAUUCAAUUUAUUCAACAAAUAUGGUCAGAUUUGGUUUUUUUACAUGAAGUGUUAUUUCUUAAGCUUUUAAAAUCUCAAAAUUUCUUUUUUAAUAAACAGUUGGAAGCUGGUGUAAAUCAAGAUGAAGAUGGAUUUAAGUUAUGGCAAAGUUUGGUCCGUCAGACGGAAUUGACAGCUCAGUUGUGUUCAAUUAUGAGGGAUGUAAGAAAUGUACGUGGUGGAACACAAAAGAAAAUAGACAAAUUAAGGCAGCUUCUUUCUGGACUCCUUAGUGAGCUUACCUAUUUUGAUGAGGUAGCUGUUUUUGCUUCAAGGUUUACUCUUUUGCUAAUUAGAGUUGGUUGUGAACCUGUGAUAUCUUUUUCUCUUGUUUAUUGCUCUGUUUCCUCUAUUGACAAAUUUAGUGUUCUCUAUUGUUGUUGAUGUGUUUUAGCCUAUUCGAUCACCACUGGCUCCUGGCAUCCUCAUAACUGGUAUUGUGCCAACAGAAUCAUCCAUUUUCAAAAGUGCACUGCAUCCUUUGCGUCUUACAUUUAGGACAGCCAGUGGUGGAACUUGUAAAGUGAUCUUUAAAAAGGGAGAUGAUCUCCGCCAAGAUCAGUUGGUAGGUUGCUUUUUUUAUUGUAUUCCUAAAAAGGAGAAUUUUGUACCUUUCAGCCUCAUGCCUUGAUUUUUUAAGGGUUAUCAUUCUUGUCCCUGGCAACAACUCUCUGUUGGAUGAGAUUCAAAUUUCCUUAUUUUCCAAUGCUCUGGCAAACACAAGAAAAUAACUGCACAUAUUCAUAUACUCUUGUGUGUGUGUGCGUGCCCUUUUUUUGCAUGGUUAUGAUGUUGAUCUCUGGAAUGUUAUAUCUAUAGGUUAUCUGUUCUUUCAUAUGGUCUCUCUGGUGUUCCCUUAUAAAUGUGAAACUAGUUUUUAUUUUUUGGCAGUAAAUCAUCUAGAUAAACAUUUCUAUGGUUUCUGUAUUUGUUACCAAGCAUGCUAAAACCAUAGUUCAAAAUUUUCUUUUGCCAGAUAAACCGACAUCAAAUUGUCUUAAGUUAGAAUUCCCAUAGAAGUCAAUCUUUUGGCUUCUCUCUAUCCUCUCUGACUUCUGAAUUGGAAUUGGUACUUUGCCUUCUGGUUCAUCCUGUUAUUUUUGGAUGUUAACAAGGUUUUUCUUUUAUCUUUCAAGUGGUCACAUUUUUACCUUGGAUGCAAUUUUUUUUUUCACGGCUAUUAAAACCAGUCAUUCAAGUGAGCCUUUUUAAUUAAAGGUACAAUAAUUUUCUGACGUUGUAAACCAAAACUAAACUUGUUCUUCUGACUCUCUUUUUGGGAUUUACAUUUUUCUACAGCCAUGUGUGCUUAAUUUUUUCUUUCCCUACAUGCUUCCUACCUGUUAAGGGAGGUCCUGCGUUGGGGCUAAACUUAGUCCAAAACACAUUGGCAAACUUUGUCCAGAACAGUUGACAUUUAGAAGAGUACAUUACAUUGAAUGCUUUCUAUUAGGAGCUCCCAGCUACAUGGUUUUACAAAGUUGUUAUUUUUUGUUCAUUUGCUUUCCUUUUUCUUGUGUUACUUUGACUUUGAAAUCCGUAAAUUAAUAUUGGUAGUCAUGAUGCUGGUCGAGGGGAACCUGUUACGUGCUGUAUGAAUUUGAUUUGGUCGCACUGGUGCAGGUUAUUCAAAUGGUUUCUCUUAUGGAUCGGUUGCUUAAGUUGGAAAAUCUUGACUUACAUUUGACCCCCUACAAAGUUCUUGCUACUGGGCAAGAUGAAGGAAUGUUAGAAUUUAUUCCAUCCAGCUCCCUUGCACAGGUAACUUGAAGUUCUUGCAAUGCGUAGACAACUGCCUAUGGAAGCUUGUAUUUUUAUGAAAUGCAAUGCUUUUGCUAAUGAAGUUUCUUGUUGUGGUUGGUUAUUCUUUUCUUGGAACAUAUAGUUGGUGAAGGUUCUACAACAUAAUAUUAUUUUCUUGUGUGACAAUGUUUUCAGUCCUCUCCAACAGUCUAGAUGGCUCCUACUUCGUUUCAACCAUUUGCUGCCUUACCACAUGGUAAAUGGCAGGUGAUUGGAGGGGCAAGGCAAUGAUGAAGAGGAAAUAUAAACCACAUAUUAGACAGUAUGCUUAUGUUAAUGUGGACCAUAUCUAUGUGGAGCCAUCUAUUCCAUUUAUGUGGUAAUUACAUAUAUGGAGAUUAAAUCAACUUUAUGUGUAAGCUAAUCCUAUCACAUGACUGCAUAUGUAGAUUUGGCCCCUUUGACUGCAUUUUGGAAAAUUAGAUUAUUUGCAAAGUCAGGUGUUCAUGUAUCUCAACAAUCUGUUCUAGGUUAUUAUCCUUUGUCGUCCAAUUAACACCUUAGAAUAAUGGGAGUUCUCCUGUGUAUAUAUCUGUCCUUUUAUCUGUGGUCAGAUACUAAUCUAGAGCUGAUACUAGUAAACCAGAUUUCUUACCUGGGCAAUUAAUUUUAGUUUUUGAUGUUUAGUCAAGGUAAGAUAUUGCCGAAGGUUAAAAGGUAUGUAUCCAUUUUUAAGCUGUCAAUACCAAUAUAUGUCCAAAAGUAGGCAACUUUCCUCUUCCCACCGAUUAAAGCCAUCUAACCUGACACUCUUACUAUGAAAAUGUUUCACAAACAAAAAUAAUUUACAUUUAAAGAGCAGAAAUGGCCCAAGAAGGUUGCUACAUUGCACAAGAGAAGAUCUUGUCAUCAAAGUGAAAUUUUUUUACUAUAAUGCCAAAGCAUUUUAGUAUAUAUGAGUUUGUCUGAAGUUCUCUGGCUCUUACCAUGGUAAAAUGAAGAUGGUUCUUUAUGGUGUUUUGGUGUUCGACAAACUUUAGAUUCUGAUAAUGUGUGAUAAAAUUUAAUGGUGUCAUUGCAUCAUAGAGUACUUAAUGUAGUAGUACGUGGGUGUGGUCCAAAUAAGUAUCAUGUUCUACAAUUUUGUUGUUUUAUUUUGGAGUGAUGGGUUCAAUAAGCAUAUUCAUCUGUUCCAAUUGUACCAAUUUUAUAUUCAUUUUAAGUCUUUGACAAUUUUUUUAAUUUCGAAUUUAGUAUAUUUGUAUAAUUAGUUUCACACACUGACUGGGUAAUGGUAUAUUAGAUUUUGUCAGAACACCGUAGUAUUGUGAGCUAUCUACAGCGGUUUCACCCUGAUGAAGAUGGACCAUUUGGCAUAACAGCUCAAUGCCUUGAAACAUUUAUAAAAAGUUGUGCAGGCUACUCAGUUAUCACAUAUAUACUGGGUAUAGGUGACAGGUGAGGUUGCUUCUCUUUUUUGGUCAUGUCCUUUCUUGUGAAAACAUCAUAUCUGAUUGUGUUUUAUGCAAUUCUUUUUAUUUAGAGUGACAUUUCCGUUUCUAAACAUGACCAGUCUAAUCAUUGGAUUAUUUAGGACAAUGUCAAGUGACAUUUCCGUUUUCGUUUUUAUUUAGAGUAAUAUAGGGGGUACCAGUAUAAUCAAUGGAUUAUUUAGGACAAUGCCAUUUGAUGCUGCUAGUAUGGCAUCAGUAUAUCAUUUGGUCACUUCUCUUUAUUUUUUUCUGACCAAGGAGUUUUCUUGGAUGAUUAUUGUUGACUUUUACAGGCCGUUUGAAAUUUUUGCAUGCAGAUACUGAGACAAACAUAAAUAAAAAAAUUGUGUAGCAAAGUUGAUGAUAUUGAGAUGGAUUCAAUGUUACUAGGAAAAUAGAAUAAAUGUUAUGUCCAUGACCAACUAGUGGUAGUUCUGAUCGAGGACAGAAAAUGAGGGCAACUGUUUAGGUGUCCUGGACCUUGUCCAAAGUUAUAAAUGAACUAAUUCAGUAUGGCGGGUCAACUUAUACAAGUGAUGAGAGGAGUGGUAGAGGAAGCGGUAUGAAGACUUCAUGCGAAAUCAAAAUUAGGAAUUUGAGAACUCUGACUAGUGACUUGCUCUUAGUAGAGCUCAAUUGUGAGCCAAUAUUCCUGUAAUUAAUUCCAUAUACUUGUGUUAUAUGUUUGUUGCUGUCAUUGUAUAUUUCAAGGUAUGCAAUACUGUAUCGUACCGGUGUUUCGAGGUUGGCUCGGUACGGUACUGUGUACUGAGCGGUAUGCUAGGGCGUACCGAGCGGUACACCUAAUUUAGGUGUAAAACCCUCCGAAAAUACUUGAAAAUAAAAAAAAAGUUAGGAUAGGGUUUUUAAGUUAGAAAUAAAUAUAGUAAUAGCAUAAGUUUAACAAAAUCAAUAUAAAUUAGGUAAGAAUAGUAUCACAUAUCUUUUUCGGGCUUUGAAAAAUAUCUUGUGCAAGGUUCGUAUUUCAGUUCAUUAUGGAUUGUCCUUAUGUAAACAUACAUGUUGAUUAGAAAGAUCUUCCUCUUAAUCUUCCCAAAUUAGCCUCGAUUUAAUUCACAAAUCGUUGUUUUGUAGAGUUUAAGAGAGCACAAAUGUGAGAAAAAAAUAAUUUGAGAUAGUUUAAGAGAGUAUGAGAAUGUAAUGGAGUGAAAUAUGAGAGAAGAAGAGUUUAAAUAAUAAAUACUAUGAGAAAGGGCUCCAACGAUCAAUUUGACCGUUGGAGCACUGUAUCAUUGUUACCGAGCGGUUUUAAAUAUUUCUUCCUCUUACUGUAGCACUGCUAUAGCAUAGCACUGUAGCACGUUCCGUCCGGUAGCGGGUGGUCCGUGUACCGGUACGUACCGCCCGCUAUUCGAAAUUACAUGCCUUGGUAUAUAUGACCAUUUGACUUAAGGAUAAUAAUUACAGACAUUCUAAUAUCCAUUUCAUAUUUCAUUAACUUCCAGUAAUAAAAUCCUUCUUUCUGUCUCACGGUCAAAUACAUUACAGGAAUACAAUACUUCCUCUGGUGCCUUUUCCAAGCAAAACAUCUCUUGAGCCGGUUAGCUCUCUUAGCGGUUCUUGGCUUCUCACAUUAAGCAUGAGUUUCUAGGUGCCCUUUAGAGGGGAAGAAAUCCUCCCAACUCUCGUGAACUUGGAUUUCUCGCUCAGUUUCCACAUAGUUGUCUGAUAACCAUUUCAUGUUCCAUUAGCUUGGGUGCAAAAAGAGUAGUAAAAAUUCACUUAGUGUAAUGAAACAAUUCCUGGUGGAAUAACUGUAUGCUGUGUUGUCUUAGUUUUCCAUUCUAGAAGUCUCUGUUUAUAACUUUUCUCUCUUGGAAGAGUGCUUUUCCAUGUUUGGAAUAGUCUUGUCUAUUUGCUCGGUGAUUACAACUUUUUGAACUGUAUUUAAAUUCUUAUGCUGACACUGGUAUCAUUUUUCAUCAAAUUGUUGAAUAUAUUUUAAACAAUAUGGCAAUUUCAAUUUUCUGAGAUAUAAUGAAACCAAAGUGUUAAUCAUGGCUGUAGACAUCUGGAUAACCUCCUCCUUAGAGAUGAUGGUCGUCUAUUUCAUGUGGAUUUUGCCUUUAUAUUGGGUCGAGAUCCCAAGCCAUUUCCACCGCCUAUGAAGCUUUGCAAAGAAAUGGUCGAGGCCAUGGGUGGAGCAGAAAGGUAUACUGAUUCAUUGUUUAUAACUUGUCACCUUUAUGUAGUAGUACAUAUGCUUUAUAGAGUUGAUGAUAAAAAUGCAGAUUCUUCUUAAUGCAUAUAAUUUGUCAUGGUAUUGUACUGUCAUGAACCUCCUUGCUUAUGCUGAUGAAACCAAAAUUCUUGAUUGCCACAAAUAUAUGGAAUAAAUUUGUUUUGUGCAUUUUCAUUCUGAGAAACUCUGCCAUGUGCAUGCAUAUGCCUGAGCACAAAUCUUGCUUGGACCAGAACAUAUUGUAAAGCAUCAUUUAAUUCGUGACAUGGUCAUUCAAAUUGCUCUCAACUGUUUUAUAUGUUAUGGCAGUUUGCUGCAGUACUAUAAGUGGUUUGAUUGAUUUUGACAUUGCUGAGAUCAUGUGGAUGACUAACAACUACUUUCUCUUAGUCAUGGAAUGCGGUUUCACCUGGACUGGUAUGAAACGGGCAGUAUAUACCAGUCGGGGUAUGAACCAGUAGGCCCCCAUAUUGACGGUCCUGUUUGACCCAUUAAAAAGAGAAAAAAAAAACCAUUAAACAACUACAGGUUUAGGGCUAACUUUCAUGAGCCCUCUUCGCUGUAAAUUGCCUAUCACUACCCAUUGCCGCUGAUUUCGAGAACACUCUCUCCUCUUCUCCUCGUCCUCUUCCUCCUCUUCUUCCUUUUUCUUCUUCUUUGUUCCUCCUUCCUUCUUCCUACGUCACCAUCUAUUCUUUCCUCUACUCCGCCCUCUUUGAACCUUUGGUACAUACCAAUGUACGUAUCGGUUUGGCCAUGGACCAAUAAUGUGGUUGGUACGAGACAGCAGUCCUUGCUCUUAGUAGUGUACAAUGGAUGAGUAUCAAAAAAGCAUGAUUCAUGUAUCUCUAGAUAAUGUUUUCUUGCUCUUAUCUUGUGUAUUUUUUUUGUCUGAAAGUAUUAGACUGAAGAUUAUGAGCAAAAUAUUUGAUGGAAUAGAUAAGAAAACUGAUGGCCCUUAGCACAUGUAAUUAAUGAUUAUCAUGAUAAAAUAAGAUAUUGUGGCUUUUACAAGUUCACCAGUAUUUCAUCUUUUAAUGAUCAAAUAUAUGACACAUCAUAUAGUCACAAAUGGAUGUGCUUCUGCUAUAUGUAGUAUUAUGCAUUGGCAAAACAUAAACCCAGCAUUAAAAGGUGUAACUCCAGUGUGCUUUGCAUCAUUCUGCAUGUUAUAUUAAUGCACUGUCAUGUUAUGAACUGUCAUAUUGAUCAAUGCAUGAAACUACAUGCUAAAAGUUUGCUCAAGUUAUAUCCUAAUUGUUACAAAUUUUUUUGUUGGAUCAGCAUCUUCAUCUAGUUUGCUACAAUUUAGAAGCUAAUAUGCACAUCAUGAUUUAGUUCAUUCCUUCAUUGCAGCCAAUAUUAUACAAGGUUCAAAUCUUAUUGUUGUGAAGCAUACAACAUUUUACGAAAGUCCAGCAACCUUAUAUUGAAUCUCUUUCACCUAAUGGCUGGUUCUAACAUCCCUGACAUAGCUUCUGAUCCUGAAAAGGGGAUUCUCAAGGUACUCCAAUCCUGUUUCAUUGUUUUAAUAUGAGAUCCAAGUCUGAUAGAUGUUAUAUACAUUCAUUAAAUGGUCAUGUUUGUGAUUAGCUUCAAGAGAAGUUUCGAUUGGAUCUGGACGACGAGGACGCCAUCCAUUUUUUCCAGGAUCUCAUAACUGACAGUGUUAGUGCAUUGUUUCCUCAAAUGGUUGAGACCAUUCAUCGUUGGGCUCAAUAUUGGCGGUGACUGAAGUUAUCGAUGGGCAACUAACAUUCUGUGGGCAUGCAGAAACAGAGUUAAGUCAUCGUGUACCUGUCUUGUGCUCUCAUUUUCAUCUUGUUAGUGUGAAUACCUGAUGCACAUUUUUCCUUGUUCCGUAAUAAAUUUCAUGCUACUUUCUGUUGGUUGCAGAUGUUUUUAUUCUUUUUUUGUGAAUAUCACAAUUAUAUCCUUGUACCAUUUUUUACCUAGUUCUAAUUUGUGUUCUAGUAGAUAAUUUUGUUGGACGAGUCUAUGCUUUAGGUGUAACCAGUCAAUGGUUCUUUCUUCUGGUAGAAAUCUUCCUAUUGGGAUCCUUGAGGAAAGCAAACGAAUCCUCCCUCCCUUGCAGAAAGAAAAAAGAAAGGGAAUCAUCUUUUGCUGGCCGUGUGGCAUGUCUACUAUCUUAUGAUUUUGUUGUUUGGUUGUCAGUAAUUACCAUCUCAUUUCAGCAUUUCAAUAACAUUAUGUCGGUGCUUAGCGCUUUGUUAAUCAUCCAUGUAGCACUUUGGACCUGAAAGUUCUUGUUGAUCUUUUGCCAGGUUGGUUUCUGGAGACCCCUGCAACGAGGCUUUUUUUUGUGGUCAGAACAACUCGCUGCCACAACUCAGAUUGUAAAUUAACUAUAUGCUUGUUGGUAUUUUUAUUAUCGGAGAAGAUUGUGGUGUAAAUAUAUACUUGACCAAUCAUGUUCCGAUCUGAAAUAUCUUGUCAGAACAAACUUUGGGAUGAAGCUAAGCCCAGCAUAGUCAUGCGCUGCCAAAAUAGUGAUACAGAGUUAUAUAUGUGCUCACCGUUACACAUUGGUCUCCUGCUAUGCUUCUUUUUGUUUGUGCAAUUUUACUAUCAAUUAAUAUAGUGAAAUGUUGAAGGUUUCAGCCGACAUAAUUAGCUGGUAAAGAUUUUUAUAAUUUAUCGUAAGGCUAUCAGUUCGAAUUUAAUCUUUGUUAUUUACUUUUUGUAAAAAAAAAAUUUGAUGGUAAUCAGUUAAUGACCGUUAUCAAUUUUGUGAUAACGUUAUGAUGUUGCCAUAACGUCAUGACAAUGAUUAAUCCAUGCAAACAAGAAUAUUACGUGAUUUGAACAGUUUCUUACACCGGUAAUAAAUUAGUACAAUCAAGCGUUAAUAUCUGGUUGAAGUUGAUCUCAACAUAAUCGGCAAGGAAGCUGGUAACAUUAAAUUUGUAAUGCAAGAAGGAUUGUAAUAGAAAAAGGAAAGAGGCAGGCCACCACAAGUCCUGAGAUGGGGACGUAUUUCUAAUUGUUCUAGGGAUUAAUUUACCAAACCUUUUGAGAAAAAAGAAAGAUAUUUGCUCUGCUCUUACACACCCCCCUUGUUAUGGCGAAUCCUCAAAGUCUUCACAUGUCUACUUCGAAUUCCACUGGGACUAUUUGGGGGCAUUUCCUCCCUUGUUGAUGCUGUUAAAAGUAUUUUUCUAUAUCGAUCAUCUUCCAGAAGGUUGGACGGUUUCAGUAUUUAUUCCAAGGCGUAGGAAGCCGAUAUAUAUAUAUAUNNNNNNNNNNNNNNNNNNNNAUAUCAAGGAUUGUGCAAGAUGAUAAUUGCCUCAAGUCCUUGCUAAUAGCAUCCUCCUCAUUUGGAUGCUUUUAUUAUACCUAUGGAACAUCAAGGGGUAUGCCAUUUAGAUAAUACUCUUUAUUGCUCAAGAAACCAUUCAUUCUUUCGAUAAUUCUAAGUGCACGAAUCCUUAGGCGAGAAUAUUUCAAUAUAUUCUUGUAGCAGUAGGUGAAAGAAAUCACGUAUAAUGAUUAUGAUGAGGCCAGAGUUGAUGUCCCCAACUGAACUGAUAGAAUAAUACGAAUGCCACUGGAACAAAGAACUUGACAAACCAAUGGCUACCGCGCACCAUCUGACUCUUCUUCCUUCUACUUAAAAACGGGAUAUCAAACAACCGCAUCAAAGCUCGGAAAUAGCAAGCAGUCUACACUGGUCGAGAUAACUUUCCAGGUCUCAACGAGCACACACCACCAUACAAUUAGGUCAAGAAACAAGGUUUGUGUUCACUAACCUGAGCAAUCAUGUGCCUAAAAUGAUCUAUCAGAUGUUAAAAAUACUUGAUAACCCUGCGCGACUGUCCAAGCAUGCAGACGUCAAACACAGACACGUAGGUAAAACAACUCGGUUCCUCAAGUUCACACGCGCAGCACGAGAGAGAGAGAGAGUGAGAGAGAUUGAAAAGUCUCGCCAUGCGAUAUCUUCAGAAUGAAAGCGAAGGACGAGGACAAUUAAUACCAGCGGACGCGUUAAACGGUCCAGUAUGAUCUCGGUGCCUUCGGAUGCCCAAAAGUCUUCCAUGCUCUAUGGGGGCGUCAAAGUCUUCGCCGACGUGUUCACGCGUCUCAGCUGCUGCUCCUCUCAACGCGGAGGCCAAUGCAAGAAACCGUGUCCGGCAGAAGAAUCUCCACCUUGUCUUUGUUACAACGAAGUCUACUGAUGAAAUCGUUUUCGUUGGACACUUCUGCAUCACGAAUUGUUUCUUGUGCGAGUUGGCAAGGAAGUUAACGCCCUCAUGUCUUCAUCCGAUUGGUUCGGUGGAACGUUCAGCAGCCGAUUGAUGGCGGAGUGCGUUAAGGGCUUCUAAUCUGAGAGCCUUUUUUGCAUUGAAGAGGUGUGCUUACCGUGACGGUUAACGGAUCUUCACCGCGUGUGGGUGGGAAACGGAGAGAGGAGAUCAGAAAGAGAGGCCGUGACGGUUGACCGUUGGAAGAAGUGACAUCACGUCAGGAGUUAAUUACAAGCCUUCUUCUUCUUCGCACGGAGCAAACUCGUUUCCCUUAACUUCGGAGUUGUUUCCUGGUACCUUCCUCUGUUCCACUGUCUCUUUGAUUCCACACGUCCCCGUUGCGGCUGUUCCCAAUAAGUUGAUGGCCACCCUCCCCCCCCACCCCCCGCCAUCGACCUACGAAUUCCUCGGUUGCUCCUCACGACUUCUUCCUCUAAACCUUAGCUCUUCCACGGCCGACUCUGUUCCUUCCCUCCAUCGAGAAAGCACCAGCAAUGGCAGCUAAGAGGCUUCGUGAUGACCCUGACAAAGAGUCUGAACCAUCGGAGGAGAAACAGAUGCGACGCCUGCCUUCAUUCUCGACGUUAGUAGUCUCAAGAGCCUUCCUCCGCUCACCAUUCUUAUCACUUUUGCUUAAUGGUUCUUUGACAUGAAAGAGCCUUCCUCUGAUUUUAAUUUGUGCGCAAGCUUUUGCCUAUGAUGAUAUCCUCCAUCUUCCGCAAAGAAGUCCUCAAAAAGGCAUCUUGUGGCAUCGAUUGAUGGUUACCAUCUUCUUCCUCUUAACAUUGACAGGGUCAUCAAAGAGGCGAUGAUGGCGAAAUCCCUGAACAACUUCUUCUUCGCAUUGGAGCCGCUGCUUCGCAGAGUGGUAAGUUGAAAUCUCUCUAAUUUCAUGCAAGCGAUUUUUAAUUAAUCCUCGAUGAACAGUUGAAAGAUUUCUCGCAGCAGUGCAUCAAUGAUUGUUCAUGACAAAGAAACAGAGGAUUAAAUGAUUUGUUUUGGUCUUCUGAUGCGAAAUAGGUGAAAGAGGAGGUGGAGCGAGGAGUAAUCCACAGCAUGCGCUCGUUUCAGAGGUAAAAGAAUCAACUGGCCUUUGACCCAAGAUCUGAUCUUUGUUCAUGGCGAGACCGAUCAAAGACAAUAACAUUGACUCCCUCCUCAGGUCCACCCCAAUGCAAAUCGAAGCAGCAGCAGAAUCAUCAAGCUUCAAGCUUACCUUCAACAAGCAGCUGUCACUUCCCAUAUUCACCGGCAGCAAAAUAGAUGACAUCGAGAGUAAGCCGCUCCAGAUCGUCGUCGUAGAUGUGCACACCGGCGAGGUCCCUUUGUCCACUCUGUCAUCCCCUCUCAAGGUAGAAGUAGUAGUCUUGGACGGAGAUUUCCCUUCGGGGGAUCAGGAGGACUGGACUGGCGCCGAGUUCCAGAACAACAUCGUGAAGGAAAGGACGGGGAAGAGGCCACUGCUCACAGGAGACGUCAACGUCACAUUGAGAGAUGGCGCUGCUUCCAUCUCCGACCUCUGCUUCACUGACAAUUCUAGUUGGAUAAGGAGUCGACACUUCAGGAUCGGUGCCAGAGUCGUUCCCGGGAGCCACAACGCGCCAAGAAUCAGAGAAGCCAUCACCGAGCCCUUCAUGGUCAAAGAUCACAGAGGAGAACGUGAGUAUGAAAUCCUUGAUCUUGCUGCUUUUGCACCAUCAACUCAGCUCCCAAUGGAGGCUAACUAAAGGAACCAUCGCAACCCAGUAUACAAGAAGCAUUACCCACCAGCUCUCGGCGAUGAGGUAUGGCGACUGGAGAGGAUUGGGAAGGACGGAGCGUUCCACAAAAAGCUGUCGGCUGUUAACAUCAACACGGUCCAAGACUUCCUGAAGCUGCUGGCCGUCGACCCUCAUCGCCUUCGCAGCGUACGAACUCGGCCUCAUUCCUCAUCGCGCCAAGUGCUUUUCAGUCUUACUGACGCUUCUGCUCUCAUGGAUCAGAUACUGGGCGUGGGGAUGUCGGACCGGAUGUGGGAGGGAACGGUCGCUCACGCCAAGACAUGCGAGGUGGGCGACAAGCGUUACGUCCACCGAGCCCCGCAGUGUAGCCUUGUCUUCAACGCCGUGUGCGAAGUCGUGGAGAUCAUCUCCGACGACAUGACACUAACAUUGCAGAGCCUAAGCAAACCUCAGAGAGUAAGUACUGCACUCCAGCGAUAGCUCUUUGCCUAUACUCUCUGCAGUUCAUCAUCUUUGACAGUCUGCCUCAACUAUCUUGCAGGCCUAUGUGAACCUUCUGGUUCGCGAAGCACAUCAGAACUGGGAUAGUUUGGAAGAUGCUGAUGCAUUCUUCGACCAGAGCAUUGUUGCAGCGAGUGAGUACAUCAAAUUGCUAGUUUUCAGCAUAGGUUGAAUUACUUGUGGGGGUUUCUGAAUCAAUUUAGCUUAUCGACAGAUGUGCAGAUGCAGCAAAGUGAGAUAGAGCCAUUUCCCUGGCAUGAAGUUGAAGAGAAUGCAAUAGAGUAUCAGCUGGAAGACUAUGAAAUCCCUGAUCCUGCUCAGCCUUCCUUUUGAGUAACACAAUAGGGUGUGAGCUGUGAUAUGUUGUUUUAUUAGGCACAAAUCAUCUGCCCUGAUUGCUUGUUUUGUGAACAUAGGAAAAUAAGCAAGCAGACACGAGGCUAUUCUUUUGUUCAUCAUCUUACUUUCUGUGUUACUUUGUCUUGGAAGAUUAGUUUGGGAGAGGAAGAUGGAGUAGAAUGAUGUCCUUUGCAAGCAUUUGGACACCCACUCCAUCCCAUAUGUCGAGUCCAAUUGUAAUUUGUUUCUGUGUUUUCCAUCAUCCUGUUGAAGGAAUAUUAGAAAGCUCUUGACAUGCUUCCUGGUGUUGCCAAACAUAUACAGAAAUUGCCAAAACAGAGUCACAUCAACCACCAUUUUCUUGAUCAAUCAAUCAAUCAAAGCUUUCUUGAUUGUACCAAAAGAAGGCUGUCAGGAGUUUUGUGGAAGACAAAAUGCCAUGGAAAGAGUUCAAACUCUGUAAAUGGUGAAGGUUUUACAAGUUGCAUGCUGACCGCACAGGAGUCUCUUUCAAAUAAUGUAGUUUGAAACAUCAUAAUUAUGAUUCUAAUGACCAAUGAAACUACUAGAUGAUCAAAUUUGAGAUAUACAUACAGUAGUACUCUGGGGACCUUACAAAUUUAUUUGAAUUAUUGUUGUGCACAUCACCUCAUUUGGUUUUAGGAAAAAAUGGAAAUGAUUCAUGAACAACAUUAUUUGAAAGAAUUAGGUAAUCAAUACAAAUGGAGCCGGUCAUAAUGAAGAAAUAACAAGCAACCAAGCAGGAACAUAAACAUAAGAGUUAUGAAGAUCAAUAUAUCUGGUCGCUUGAGGUGACCAUGUGAAGAUUGUCACUUGGAAUUCUCAUAACAAAAUGAUUUAAUCAAUACAAAUGUUCCUUUUCUAUGAAGUAGACAAAAAGUACAACAAUUAUGCUAACGUGGCAAAAGAAUACAACCAAAAUCAAUUGUUAUCUUAAGCAUUUCUGCUUAUUAGUUUUCUUGACUUUUCACUCCUAUUGUAGAGCCACCGAUCCAGGUCAAGGUGAAAGGGAAUUAUUAGUCAGUGUCCUGCGGCAAGUGUUCUCUUUGUCAACUAGAUCUCUGGUGCUUCAAACUAGUCUCUUCAUUUUCUGACUUCCAGCAUCUGGGAUUAUUUCUGGAUGGCUUUCUUCAGAAGGAACAAAUUGAUGCAAAAAUCUUUGAAUCAUCUCAUAACUGGUGAAUGUGAUAACAGCUGCUGGGGUGGUUCGUAACAAAUUUGUGCCACAGCCACGGUAAAAUCCAGAUAUGCCAUCCUUCCGGAAGACCUUCUUAACACAGUCCACGACACCAGCAUAUUGAGUUAGAGAGUUGCGAGCAUGUCCUUGUUCUUGCAGUUUGGACCGCACAACCUGAAGAAAGAAUAUGCCACAUGAUUCAGAAAAAAAGGAAAGAGAAAGAAGGCAUCUUGGUCAUGGUAGCUUUAAAACAGAACAUCAUGUCAAGAAGAAUGAAAAUCCAGUUCAUUAUAUGAGGGCAACUUUGACAAUGUCAAGGCAUCACAGUGUUUCUUGUGUAUGUCACGGUGGGGAAGUAGACAGACUGGAAUAGUCCAAUCUUCUUAUAAAAUCAAUGAAAAUCCAGCUCAAAAAGUGGCAGUGCUUCAUGUACAGUUCUCUUAAGAUCUUUUUUCACUUUUUCCCUCUAGUUUUUUGGAAUUAAAUAGAUUUUCUAGAUCUGAAUUCUGCAUCUGCCAAAAUAAAGUGAAAAUGUCAAAGAAAUAAUGAUGGAAGGAGGAGCACCUCAUGAGGGUAGGUCAUUGUGGAGGCAAGCACUUUUGAGAGCGAAGAAGCAAUAGCCACACUACCAGCACUGAGCUUAUCCACCGUGGUGUUAUCUGAAAACAAUUAAGAUUAGAGCACCAUGUAAUGAAGAAGAAUAACUAUCAGGUAGAUAUUAUUACCUUUGUUUGCUAAGUGCAAUUUGAUAUUUUCAUAUACUGGAAACUGGAUUGCAACAUGGCUAAUACCAGCUAGAGCUGGAAGAAGACCACUGUUAACCACAUGAAAUCAGUCACCAAGAACAUGACAAUUAAGAUCCCAACAGAAAAGAAAAAUCAUGAAUUAGUUGUACAUGGAGAGAAUUGACUCACCUAUAAAACCCUCGGAUGCCUUCUUCGUAUGAAAUCCUUCUCAAUGCAGACAUUACACUCUUGUAAGGAACUACUCCAGGUCUGAUCCUCUGAGUCUAGCACCAGACAAAAGAAACAUCAAGCAUUGCGGAGCUGCUAGUUGAACCGAAAAUAUUAGAAGUCUAGAAGAGCUAAACUCGGAAAACACUACCACAGUCAAUUAAUCUAGAUGGCUUAAACCCCCUAUGCAAGUGUUUGGCAUCAUUAAGUACAAAGCUUCACAAGAGAAAGAUCAUCAAAAUAAUGGUAAGACAAGUUUGUGUAUGAAACAUACUCACAAAUAAAGUUCUAUCUGAUACUUUUCUUCUCAUUAAAUUUAACAAAUUAAAGCUUCUUGGACUAAAAUUGGCAUGAAGUUGGCUAAGAUGAGAAGGGGAUAAGAGAAUGUACUUGAAGUCUGGUCUUAACAACCCACAGAGGAUUGGUCACAACUGCCGUUGCAGCCCCUGCACCUGAGGCAGCAAGAACAUUUGCUCCAACCGAAAGUUGAUUGUCUACCUUAGUUGCAUCUGAAAUUCUAGUCCAUGUUAGUCUUGCAUGGCAUGGAAAGUUUUGACGAUGAAAAUGACUAUAGCAGAAAAACCAUACUGUAUCUCUAAGAACCCAGAAUUACAACCAAAGGAAAUGGUGGAAAGAAAAUCUUAAACGAACCAUGUGAAUGAAGUAGCCCUUUAAGCUUAUCAUAAACUGUAAAGUACACCUGGAAAAGAAGUUAAAGUGAUAUCAGAACAAAAUAACUGAAACAACAUUAUCUAAAUAAAUCACUUCAUCUAUGAUGAAGAUAACAAUAAAGCCUAGCUGAAGCCACACAAAUCAAAGCUAUUAUCCGUGGAUUUUAUUUUUCAGAAGUUUGAGAUGUAUAAACAAAACGAAGAGGAACUGGAAGCAAGAUUAAACACUUACUGCCCAAUUUGGAAGUAGCGCUAAAAUUGUCGGAGAAAGGCCAUGAUACAUUCCUUUAAAUCCUUCUUUCCUAAUUAUUUGUUCUAAGCUUGAAAUGAUAAGACUUCCUAAUUAUAAAAAAAAAUCAAACACUUCAAAAUCUUAACCAGUAAUGAACUUGAUGGAUGCAAGGAUGAUAUAAUUCAAAUAGUAGUAAAUGAUAAUCUAUUGCAAGCCUCAACCAGAACAAUGAAACACAUACUGGUGGAGAACAUAUUAAAACUAGUGAAAAGAUCAUCUACUAUCAAAAUUCAACUGGAAAAUAGCAUGAUCAUGAAGAAAACCAUUAUGAAAACAAGAAUAGAAAGCAUAUUUUGAUAAGCUCCCUAGACAGGUCACUAACAUACAGCUGUGGUAUGACAACCUACACUGGUCUUAUACAAAGUCCACAAGCAACUUAAUCAGCAAAACUGCAUCUGAUCUAUAUGUUAUGAUAUUUAUUAAUCGUGCUAAUAUUUUAUGUUAGAGGGUAAUGAUCCUACUAUACUGUACAUAACCAUCAUUGUCUUGGACCACAAAGCUUACAUAAUAGGAAACUGACAUCGAUUGCCAUGAUUUACUAUACAUCAAUUUGAAGUCGUCAAACCUAAUUCAUGCUUUGAUCACCAUGUGAAAAGUUAGCAACAAAGCCUACUGCAAAGCUGUGUUAGUUAAUGUUCACCCAACAUUUUGCCAGGCUACAAUUAGUUGCAAUAAUCCCUCGUCCAUAUUACCAAUCUAGGAAAUUGCUUCGACCAUAACUAGCUAAAAUUAUCUUAGCAAGAUUCUAACUUUAGAUCGAAAACCACUUAAUUCACAAGAGAAUGGUAGUGACAGUGAGUAAAAAAGAAAAAAAAUCAGAAGAGCAUACCCCGCCGCGAAGAUUGUGGAAGAUUGGGCAAUCCAUGCACUUGAAGCCUCGUCUUUACCACGUCCAGCGGGCACACAAACGUCGCUGCAAUGAUCCCUGCAACCAUUCUUCGUCUUUAUUAGAACAGACAAAUUAAGAAGCCGAUUCUCAAAUCCUGACAGACAAAAAAGGAAAAACCUCAAACCCCUAAUUCAAAAGGAAAUUUUCGAUUUUUUUUUAUUAUCAUACUCAAAUGAACUCCAAUUUGUAAAUCCAAAAGAAUAAAUUUUACCACUCUAAUAAACUCCAAGUAGAGAAUGAGGGGGGAGAGGGAAGAUCUCAUGGGAAAGAAGGGAAGAAAGGGAAAAACUGACCGGCGGACGCCCCAGCGCAUGCAUUGCAGAGGAGAUCGCGAAGGGACGGCCCGUGGAGAUCACCCGGCAUGACGCUGAGAUCUUCAGCUAAACAACCGGCAGCAGAUUCGAUCUUUCGGGUUCCAAACCACAGAGCUCUUAAUCGAGAAGUGCUAUAUGGUGGGCACGGAUCAAAUUAAGAGGAGAAGGGCGCCAUGGUAGCCUUCGAGGAAGAGGAGGCGAAACGGAGGGGUUCGUUCGAGCAAAAAUUUCCGGAAGACGGAGGAGGCAAAGCGAGACGAAGGAAAGAAGAAAGACUGAAUCGACCGCUGCCGCUGACAACAGUUUGUUUCUUGUUCUUCGAAUUGCUAAUCACCGGCUACCGGGUGGUAUAUUUAUACCUCGAUAUUUCUAUUUUCAUUCAGCGAUAUAUUUCUAAAAACAUUUUUGACCCUCAAAAAACAUUUUUUUUCUAUUUUCUUCCACUCUUUCUUCUAUAAUUAUGGUUGCGUUCACAUAUUAUAAAUAUUAUUAUAUUCUUUUUCGGUGACUUGACCUCACCAUCAUUUCCUGCAGAAGGGAUCAUUUGCGUGUUGGAACGGCCACAAUUCAGCAUCAAUUGGAUUGGUCCGUGGAGCACGUUGAAGACCCAAAUGUUGGAUCGUUCGCUGGUGAUUCGCUUGGAAGAACGUUGAUUCGUAAUUGACCAACUAGUAAAGGAUUGGUCAUCAAGAUGUUUAUACGAAUGUUGAAGUCCAGAUGGAUUCUCCAGAUUUUUCUGGACCUAAAUAUACGGAACUCAUACUUGCGUGUACGUCCACAUCAUGUGUGUAUGUGGAAGAUCACAUUGUCCACGACAAACUCUUGAGGAGAUCCAAUUAUUUAUAAUUAGCAUUCAUUAGUGAAGGCAUCUAAUAGCAGAAAUAAAAUACACAUCAAAGCAUACGUAGAACACGUUAAGAUUUGUAAUUCCAAAAGCACUUUUGUACAUUCUCACCACGCACAAACCAAUAUUUACGUGCAAAUUACACCACAAAAGUCACUCGAAGUUGCACCCAAAUCAGAGAGGCCAAAAGCUGCAGCAAACGACGUCCUUCUCUUUGCCCCUCUUCUUGCUCGCUGCUCCGCCUGUGAUCUCAACGGACCUUGCCUCGGGCUUCUUCAUCUGCCGCUUGGGCACUAUCAAGGUGAGCACCCCGUUCUCAAUGGAGGCCUUCAUCUCAUCGGCCUUCGCAUCCUCCGGCAGCCGAAACCGCCUGUAGAACCUGCCGCGGCUCCUCUCCGAGCAGUGCCACUCGCACUUCUCCUUGUCAUCGAUCGGAUCCCCGCUUCGCUCGCCGCUUAUGGAGAGGACUCUGCCGUCCUCCACCUCCACCUUCACGUCCCCCUUUCUGACCCCCGGGAGGUCGGCCUUGAAGACAUGCGCCUCCGGGGUCUCCUUCCAGUCCAUGCGGGUGUCGUCUGCGCCGGAGUCAUCCGAGGGAAAGCCACGGAGUGCAUCGAAGAUGUUGCUGUGACGACCCAACAACAUGUUGUGGACGAGAGACAUAUUAGAUGCUGCUGCUGCUUCUGCUUCUUGAAGCUGAGACAUGUAGCAAACUCUGGUGUCCAAAGUGACGGUGGCAGUGUAUUUAUAACUGGUUGCUUCCAGCGUGGUAUAUCUAUUCCACUAAUAAACGAGCCAUUGGUGCUCCGGGCGUUUCCAGAAGCCUCUACGUAGUUUUGGUGGGACCAGAUAGACCAAGUAAGAUAAUUCUUUGGAUGAAAUCUUGAUCGUCGAAAUAAUUAUUUAUUAAUAUUAUUGUGAUUUGAUUGAAAUCAAUCAAUUCCAAACCAAUUAUUUUAAUUUUAAAUCAAUUAAAUAUAAUAAAAAAACAACACCUCAAACAUUAUACCUUAGGAGGUUAAAUCUUUGUCUAAAAUCAAUUAACUUGGAUUUGAAUCUUCAAAUAACCAUUUAAUUUGAUUAAAUUUUUUUAUAAUUUUAUUUUUAUAUCAUUUUUAAGUCAUUACACUCGUCAUAAUUAUAUGCCUAUUCUUUAAAAUUAUAAUUUUUUUAUAUUUAAAAUUAAUUUUAAUUAAAAAAAACAAUUCUAAUCAAAAUCGAAACCGUUCGAACCGAUCCUAAUGGUUGAUGAUGACACAUCAGACGGCUUAAAACAAAAUAAACAAUAGAACAGAAGUGAAAUAUACUGGAAGACGAUGGAAGACCUGAGCACCUUCGAGAGCCCCGCUGACGACAUGGCCUCGACAAAAGCAGCAUCGAGCACAGUCUGGAGCCUUCAGGACCCAUCCGUCCGAGCCUAUAAAUGCUCAUCGUACUUACUCAACUCACCAAGAACAAGGAAAAGAAAUCCACAGCUUAGCAACGCAUCCUACGCUACCACCAGAAAUCCUUCAAAGGCAUUUGCAACCAUGUCGAUCGUGAGGCGCAGCAACGUCUUUGAUCCCUUCUCUCUCGACGUUUUCGACCCCUUCCAGGGCUUCCCCUUCGACGCCUUUCGCUCCCUGAGCGAGACGCGCCCCGGCUUCGCGAGCGAAACCUCCGCCUUCGCCAACACCCGCAUCGACUGGAAGGAGACGCCCGAUGCCCACGUCUUCAAGGCCGACCUCCCCGGGGUGAACAAGGAGGAGGUGAAAGUGGAGGUGGAGGAAGGCAGGGUCCUUCAGAUCAGCGGCGAGCGGAACAAGGAGCAGGAGGAGAAGAACGACAAGUGGCACCGCGUGGAGAGGAGCAGCGGCAAGUUCCUCAGGAGGUUCCGGCUGCCGGAGAACGCCAAGGUUGACCAGGUCAAGGCCUCCAUGGAGAACGGCGUCCUCACUGUGACUGUCCCCAAGGAGGACGUUAAGAAGCCCGACGUGAAGUCCAUCGAGAUCUGCGGCUGAGCUCUGAUGCAUGUCGGAGAAAUCGAUAGCUGAGCUUGCGACCUAUCCAAAUAAGUCUCUGUGGCAGUCGAGUGAGUGUGUCCGUCCUAUGUCUAAGUGUGCUAUUUGGUUUGUGUCUUUCCGUGUCUAAGGAGUCGGUCGACUUCGGGAACUCUGCGUUGCUCUCGCGGUAAUAACGUUUGUCAUGGAAGUAUUCCUUAAUUAAAUAUAAGUCGGUCUACUUCAUCCGUUUCAUAUGUUUCUUCUUCGGGAACUCUGCCUUGCUCUCGCAGUGAUAACGUUUGUAAUGGAAGUAUUCCUUAAAUAUAAGUCGUUUCGUAUGUUUCGACACGAAGAGCAAGUAGUCACCAAAAUGAACAGAUAAGAAUACCAACUGGCAGACAAAAACCACAUGAUAUCAUCAUUCUGCCUACUUUAAGUCCCUACGUCAACCCGCCACGUGCACAAUCCACGAGAAACGUGACCCUGCAAGCUUAUCUUCUUCCAUUGUGGGUAAGAGGUGACGCACCGCCCGUUUUCCUCUGUCCCGAACCCUUUUAUCAUAUAUUCAAAGGGCCGUUGCGAAGUCCGGGACCCUCUCUUUCCGCGGCGAUCGGGUUCCGAUCAUCGGUGAAUUUUUCCCGAUCUACUGUUGCCUUCGUGACGCGCUACUCGUGUGGGUCGUCUCCUCCACAGGAUGGGCGAUCCAUCCAGUGGCUUCCCCGUUUGAUCUGAUGCUGACACGUUUCUUUUCAUCCACGUGGUGUUUACUCGUCCGUCGUCAUCCUCCCGUGCUGUCCCAUUACGCGCAUUCCCCAACUGCUCACAUGUCUCAGAGGAUCAUCAUAUAAAAAGAAUACCGCGUCCUGCCCCUAAUCUCGCUUAUCAUACCCAUGUUACCCUGGGCCCUUUGCUACCUUCUUAUUGAUUGGAACACAUGGUAAGGGCCACAAUACUCCCUCCAAUUAUAGAUGGGUGGCUCGAGGGGAAACGCUGGAGUGGCAGUCAAAGAAAUACUUGCUUUAAUUCCUUCCUUUUAAUUCUCUUUCCCUUCGCCAGUUCUUUCGUUCUUCUUUCCGUCUCCUCUGCGUCACUCGAAUUCCUUUCCAUCAAGGCACUCUCUUCACCUAUUUACGAUCUCGUUUCUCUCUUGCAUCUUUUACUUUGGAUACGAUUGUGCUUUCCUUUGGAUUCUUUAGGGUUGAUUGCAUCCAGAGUCCCCCCCGUUUUUCAUCCCUCUGGAUUGGGAAUUUAGGAUUCUUGGGCCGGGACGUAGGGCUCCUUCUUGUAGUUAUUGGAGUUUGGUGGAAAUGUUGGGGAGUCGCGUGCAGUUGGGACGCGGGCAUGGGGAGGAUCGCGUUUGCUACGCCGAUAAGGCCCGGUGGAGCCGCCACAGCCACCAACGGCACUACCAGCAGAGUCCAUGGAGGUCUUCAAGCACCUCCGCCGCCGGAACUUACCCCGCCCCUUCCUUUGCUUCUGGGAGCUCCGCAGAGGCUGUUGUGUCGGUCUCCGGCACCCGUGAGCAAGAGAACCGAGCAGGAACAGAGAAAGAUACUCCGAAGACCGGGAUCGCGUCCGUUUCAUCUUGGGGUCCUUCUGUUGCUCAUUCUUGUAACUUGAAACGAUUCUUGGAGUCCAUAACUCCGUCCGUCCCGGCGUUGUACCCUUCCAAGGUUUAGAAAUUUUCCUCCUUUCGGUUGUUGUCGCUUUGGGAUUCUUGGAGAUUGACUGACUUUGAUUGGCUUGCAGAUGGAGAAGAGGGGAUGGAGGGCUUCUGACCAGGAGUGCCGGCCGUACUUUGCGCUGGCGGAUCUCUGGGUCUCGUUCACGGAGUGGAGCGCGUAUGGUGCUGGCGUUCCGCUGGUUCUGAGCGGAGCGGGCAGCGUGAUCCAGUACUACGUGCCUUACUUGUCUGGAAUCCAGUUAUAUGGUGAAUCGAACAGGCCCUUUUCUGAUUCUAGGUAUUAGUGUUUGCCGGAUGCUUUCUUUCUAAUAUAUCUCGGUCCACAGAAUUUGACAUGAACGACUAAUUUGUUUCUUUGUAUAUUUUCUUACUACAGCUUUUGUUUGCCACCCUAAAGUUCUGAAUGUUCCUUGAUGCAUUGCUUCCUUGAUACGUCUACGAUGGCUAUCGUGUCGUAAUGUUCUUAGCUUAUAAAAACUCCUUUUACUUUUCUCGGUGGUAUAUUUUGCCUUGUUUGUAUCAUCUGUCAUAAAAGCGUAGGAUUUGUUGAACAUAAAUGGUUUCAAUAAGAACCAAUUGUCAGUUUAUCUUUGCUUACCUCUAUCUCAAUGGUUCCGAAUAAUAAUUUCUUUGGAUCGGUUUAGCAUCAAACCUGAUGAGGGCAAUUAUGGCGAUUGGACUCGGGUGACAUCAACACCCCCGGAUGACGCCCCCCCGCCUCAGUCGACUUGACAGCACCUGGCUAAAACAGACCGGAACGCCAGCAGAGGCACAUUAACUUCUUGCACAAGCUCGAUACCUCACGCCACGCCUACACCGGUGUCAGACGCUACCAGGAGUACGAUCCUGCUCCCCUCGAGCAGGCACCUCAGACAGGUAACAUUCGUUAUAAGAACCCUCUCGUCGAGGAGAAAAGGGAGAGGAAAAUUCCUCCACUACCAUUGACUGACAUGAUCGUCGGAGGGGUCGGGCCGAGACCCCUGACCCGACCUGUCUGCAGGUGCGAAGACGGAGCAACCCCGCUAGACGGCCAUCCCGGGAAAGACAAUCGUCCCGUCGCCGACCGCGCGUAACAGAUCCAUCCAACUCGACGGACUCCCAGGCCUCGCCGGAAGAUCCCCUCGCAUUCCGACCCGAACCAAGCCGUGCCGACCCUGAGGCCCGGCUUAAAGUUGUUGACACCAACAUUUUGGCGCUAGAAGGAGGGUCGAAUGUCGAGUGAGCGGCAGGUCGACUUGGAUGAAUCGACGGCUGAAGGGUCGUACCCGAGAGAGGCUCCAGGGGAACACCCCUCGUAGGGUGAACCUAGAGAUGAACACCCCGCCGCAACCUCCGAACGUUACUGGCGGUUAUUCAACGACCCGGGCUUAUCACCACCCGAGGGUCCCCUGGCCGACCCGUCGCCCGUAUCGUCGGAGGCUUUUCAGGAUCUCGCUCUUCAAGUUCGAGCGCAGACGGGUAUGGUGCAAACCCUCAUCUUACUCGUCGCUCGUCCGGAGCGCACGCUUGCGAUCCAACCACUGCGGCAACAGGACCCGCUAGCCCAGGCUCACGCGCCGCCUCCCGAGGUACCAACCUCCCCUCGGGUCGGGCCGACCCCGCCCGGGGAUUGAAUGACAACACUCCCGAGGGGCCGCCCGGAACCCGAGGUAUUAUCCUCGGACUCGACAGACUCCCUGCGAGCCCAAGUGUGUUUCGUCAGUCGGCGGCUCGACGAAGUUCAGCAGGAGGUUCGCAGGUCAAAAGGGGAGCUCGGCGAGGAGGCGCACCGGGGGUCCCCGUUUGUACCCGAGAUACAGGAUCAAACGAUCCCCCCGAACUUCCGGCUCCCCUCUCUUGAUGCGUACGACGGCUCCACCGACCCGGCGGACAACGUAGCGACUUUCCGCGCCCAAAUGGCACUAUAUGGGACCUCUGAUGCCUUGAUGUGCAGGGCGUUUCCCACAACUUUGCGAGGGUCCGCUCGCGUGUGGUACAGCGGCCUUAAGACUGGGACGAUCACCUCCUUUGAUCAACUCGUCAGAGAUUUUGAGUCCAACUUCCUAGCUUACGCCUGGCCGAAGCCCUCCGUCGCUCUGCUCCUCGGGCUCAACCAGAGGGAGGACGAGCCCCUCUCGCACUUUGUGAAUCGUUUUGCUACGCAAAUCUGGGGGUUGCCGGACGCUCACCCCUCUCUAUUGAUACAGGUGUUUAUGGUAGGCUUGCGACCCUCCAGGUUUUUCUGGUCACUAGUAGAACGACCCCCCGCUGCGGUCCCGGAGAUGCUCCAGCGGGCGAGCCAGUUCAUGGCGGCAAAGACCUGGAUGGUCGGGAAGCGGGACUAGCACAAGAGGGUCAGAUCAGAGCCGUCCCGCGGACAACAGUCCGCCGCACCAAGGCGCAGAUUGGACCGUCCUGACCUAUCGUCAUUGAUGUCUCAAUUCCCUCUUUGGGUGCGUCCCGGACGGAUAUAUUUCUUCAGAUUAGAGACAAAGGGUUACUCAGGACUCCCAACCCGAUGAAAAAUCCGUGGGAACUAGCGGAUCGGUCGAAGUAUUGUCGUUUUCAUCGGCAAACCAGGCACGACACUGAGGAGUGUCGGGAGUUGAAGCGGCAGAUCGAGGAGCUCAUCCGCAAAGGGCAUCUCGGUCGACACCCCCAGCAAGACAAGGAGCUCUCCCCCCGCCCUGAAGGACCCGUCGAGCGUCAGAUCGAUGUGAUCAUUGGGAACCCUACCAAGAUCAAAGACGGUGAUGCCCACCUUCCUGGUAGUCGACCUCCCCACUGCAUAUAACGCCAUCCUUGGUCGACCAACCCUCAACAAGGUCAGGGCCGUCAUCUUCACUUAUCACCAAACGGUCAAAUUCCCGAUCCGCGCCGGAGCUGGGGAAGUCAGGGGAAGCCCCCGGGAGUUCAGGCAGUGCUACCUGACGGCGGUCUCGCUUCACAAACGAGCGCGGACCGAGCAACCCCCGGGGGACCCUAGGGAAAUGAAGAAGCCAGCCCCACACCCUGAACCAACGACGCCUACUUGUGACGUGCCACAGAUGAAGGGCCGGCCGGAUCGGACGAUCCGGAUUGGGUCGGAACUCCCCGAACAGGAACGGGAACAGCUCGUCGGCUUCCUACAGGGAAACGCCGACGUCUACGCCUGGUCGCCCUCCGACAUGACGGGCGUCGACCCGAAGACCGCUCAACACUACCUGAACAUAGCGCCCGAUAGACAACUGGCUAUCCGAGAAGAGGUGGAGUGACUUUUGGCAGCAGAGUUCGUGGAAGAAGUCAAGUACCCUCAAUGGCUGUCCAAUGUAGUCCUCGUAAAGAAAUCUAAUGGGAGCUGGAGGAUGUGUGUUGACUACACCAGUCUUAAUCGCGCGUACCCGAAGGACUGUUACCCCCUCACAAGGAUCGACCAAUUAGUCGACGCGACCGUCGGGCAUGCGCGCCUUUCGUUCAUGGACGCCUUCUCUGACUACAACCAAAUCAGAAUGGCACCCGACGACCAGGAGCACACGGCCUUCCUCACUGAUCGGGGAGCGUAUUUCUACAAGGUCAUGUCAUUUGGGCCAAAGAACGCAGGAGCUACAUAUCAGAGGGUCGUAAACAAGAUGUUCGCCCGGCAGAUCAGGCGAAACGUUGAAGUCUACGUCGACGAUAUGAUCGUGAAGAGCCGCGCGACGGUAAACUACCUGACGGAUUUGGCUGAAACAUUCACUGCCUUACGGAGACACGGCCUGCGGCUCAACCCUGUGAAGUGUGCCUUUGGCGUCGGCUCAGGAAAAUUCCUCGGAUUCCUCAUCCACGAGAGGGGAAUCGACGCUAACCCGGAAAAGGUUCAGGCGAUCAUCAGCAUACAAACCCCCCGGACAAUAAAGGAUAUACAACGGCUCAACGGGAGGCUUGCUGCCCUAUCUCGGUUCCUGUCUCGGUCUGGUGAUCGUUGCCUACCCUUCUUCCGGGCCUUGAAAAACCCGAGGAGCUUUCAAUGGACGGAGGAAUGCGAGAAGGCCUUCAUACAUGUAAAGCAGCACCCCGCCAGCCUCCCUCGCCUCCCCUCAGUUUCUCCCGGGGAGAAGCUUAGUGUCUAUCUGGCCGCCUCCCGGAACGCAGUUAGCUCCGUCCUGAUUAAAGACGCCACCGGUGGGCAACUACCGGUCUACUACGUCAGCCAUGUCCUGAACGGACUGUUAGAACCCUUGCAGAUUCUAAACUUGGGAUUGAUCUCUUUAGGGGAUCGGCCUUCUUGGAACUCUAUAGGAGUUCCUCCCUCCAAGUUGCUGCUCAAAGGCUGCAGAAAAGAUUCAUCUAUUGCUUAUGAAAAAAGGAGGAAUACAUGGCUAUUUAUAGGGUUUCUAAACCCUAACUCCUAAUAGGACUCCUACUAAAGACUCUUAUUCUUUUACAACUCCUAAUUCUUCUCUAAGAAACAACCUCCUAACUUUAGCCGGCCUCUUCACCUCUUUAAUAGGGGUCGGCUUAGGUAGGUUUUACAUGAAUGUCCCUCUCAAUUAGGACUCUCCUAGCUAGAGUCCUAACAAACCCACCCUCUUCAAAUCAGCCUUGUCCUCGAGGCUGACGAUUCAUGAAUUCUGGAAAUUUGAUCUUCAAGUCGUCAUAGUUCUCCUAAGUGGCAUCUUCUGUUGGUAGGUUCGCCCACUGUAUUUGCACUUCAGUAGUGGGUCGUCGUCAUUGAGUCACAAUCCGUCGAUCAAUAAUGGCACUUGGCUGGGUUUGGAGUUCUCCUUGAGUAGUCAUAUUUGGUGGGUGGCUUUGGGCUGUCUCCAAUCACCUAUUUACAACUUCCGUCUGACCAUCGGUUUGUGGGUGAUAUGUCGUACUCCUUUGCAAUUUAGUACCCUUCAUAUGGAAUAACUUUGUCCAAAAUCCGCUCAUGAAGAUGCAAGUAGAAUUUGUCACAAGCACAAUGCGUCCUUUAUAGCGUAAUUCUUUUGAGUCUCAAUUGUAAUGAGCCAUGAAACUUGGUGCUUCCUCCAAUUUUUUCUUUAUCUUAUUGGUCUUCGAAUCUUCCUACCAUUCCAUCUUAAUAUCUUCAAGGAAGUCGUUGGUCAAAAGUGAAACGGCCGAAAUUUCAGCUUGCUCGGAUAGCUACGAAGGCGUAUCUGCAAUAAUAUUCUCUUUCCCCUUUUUGUAAGUUAUUUCAUAAUCAAAUUCAAGAAGUUUUAUUACCCAUUUUUCCUGCUUAGGGGAUGAUAUCUUUUGCUCCAAAAAGUACUUGAGGCUUUUAUGAUCGGUUUUAAUUUGAAAUCGUCGACCGAUCAAGUAGGGUCUCCACCUCGUUGCUGCGUGCACAAUGGCGAGCAUCUCCUUAUCAUAUGUUGAUAUAUUUUGAUGGGAGGGAGACAAUGCCUUGCUAGUGUAUGUGAGUGGUCGACUAUCUUGCAUGAGAAUGGCUCCAAUUCCGACUCCAGAUGCGUCGGCCUCAAUAAUGAAGGGUCGGCUGAAAUAUGGUAGUGCUAGCACCGGCAUCGUCGUCAUGGCUGGCUUAAGUUUGUCGAAGGCGGCGGAGGCUUUGUGGUUGUAGCAUGUUAAACCCAGAAAGCCAUGUAGCAAUUUUAUGUUCCUCGGGGUCGGCCAGUUUUGCAUUGCUUCUAUUUUGGAGGGGUCCAUCAUCACACCUUCCUCUGAUAUGAUAUACCCAAGAUAUUCCACCUUUUGUUGAAGAAAGCAAAAAUUCGUAGUGGUCGUUGUGUAUUCGAAAGGCGGUUUUCGGUAUGCCUUUUUCGCACACUCGUAUUUGAUGAUACCCGGAUCGAAGGUCCAGCUUUGUGAAGAUUUGUGCUCCCUUUCAUCUAGCAAUUCAUCUACUACUAGUAUAGGAUAUUUGUCCUUGACGGUUAUGCCAUUGAGAGCUCGGUAAUCAAAACACAAUCGCCAUGUUCCGUCCUUUCGUACGAGGAGCACCGGUGAAGAGUAGGGGCUGCAACUUGGCUGAAUAACUCCUGUUUCGAGUAUCUCUUUUACAAUCCUUUCUAUUUCAUCCUUCCACAGAUAUGAAUGCUGAUAUGGCUGAGUAUUUGCAGGAGGCUUGCCCAGAAGAAUCGGUAUACAAUGAUCAUGCCGACGAGUAGGAGGUAGGUUGCACUGUUCGUCAAAUAUAUCUGAAAAUUCAGCAAGCAAAGGAAGUAGGUUUGGACUUUUAAAUUCUGUUAGCUUUCCCUUAGUUUGCUGCUCGAGUUGUACCACAAAGCCGCUGCAUGCCUUAUGCAAAACCUUCUCCAUUUGUCGUGUGCAAAUCGUCGUUACAUUGCCCCCAUGUUUCCCGUGCAGUAUCACUUGUUUUCCCUUACUGUAAAAUUUCAUAAUUAGUUUCAUAAAAUUCCAGGAAACAUCACCUAAUGUCAUCAACCAUUUAAUUCUGAGCAUGGCCUUAUUAUCGUCAAGAGGGAGGAGGAAGAAAUCUGCAAUUAUCUCGUGGUCCUGCAGCAACAGUUUCACCUGCGGGCACCUACGAUCACACUUCAAAAUCCACCCGUCGGCAACCUUAAUGUCAAACCUGUUGCAAUUCUCAAUAGGUAAGGCCAUCCGGACAACAACCUUACUAUUUAGGAAGUUAUUAGUACUGCCUGUGUCGAUGAGAACAGUGAUCGAUUGUUGUUUGAGAAGGCCUCCAACUUUCAUCGUUUGCGGGUUUGAGUAGCCGGCUAGCGCGUGUACUGUAACGUCGGUCAGUUGUGGCUCUUCUUCCGCAUCUUCUUCUUUAUGUUCAAUGCUCUCUUCUGAAUAUUCAAUGACGUCUUCUUCUACUGGCUCAAUCGUAAGAAGUCUCCCUUUUCUACAGCGAUGCUCGUGGCUCCACGGCUCGUCGCAGUGCCAACGUAAUCCCUUCACAUAUCGCUCUCGAAGCUCUUCUCUUGUCAACCUUUUUGGUGCAGGGACUCGGUCGAUAGUAGGGGGGGCUGAGGGCUUCAAUAUUCUUGGUCGAUGAGCAACCCUAGUCCUCCGGGCUUCAUGGUUCAAUCGCUCCUCUUGAAAUCGUGCGAAAGAGAUGGCUGCCAUAAGCGUGUAUGGUUGUCGCGCUUUAACUUCUCCCCGAAUCUCUGGCUUUAAGCCCUCCAUGAGUGUGUUCAAACCAGUCAAACCAUUGUAUGACAUCUCCUUCAAGAUGUAUAACUGCAAUUUUCACCAUAGAUGCGUCCGCGAUUUUUUGGUACCGAAAAUAUCGCUCUGCGCGCUAGAUCCAACCAAUCAAGUCUCUUUCUUCCCAUCUAGGAAAGUCCACCCUCAUGUGUGGAUAGUUGGGGUUGGUUAUAGAGCAUCCCCUCUCUUGGAAGUCAUCUCUUCGGGCUUGGUACGAUUGGGCAAAGCUCUCUCCUUGAUGUGAUUUCUUCGGGCUUAGUGGUCAGCCCAAUCUGAGUUCGGUAAAGAGCAUCCGAAUCUUAUCCUCCAUUCGUGCCUCCAAGGCUUCGAAUUUAGCAUUCAUUGCCUCCUUAGAUACCAUAGUAUAUGCCUCCAAAUCUGUGAUGUUAAGAUCUUUUUUUUGUUGUUGGGUUAAAGGCUUGUAUAGGUUGAGAGAAGUGAUGAUCGAAAGGGUUGGUGGAUUGGUAGAUGUAGGCUGCUGUUUAGGCUUGUUUUGUUGCUAUUUUGGGUGCAGUUUGAGGGUGUGGUUUAGUAGAGUUUUAGGGCUAUAGAUGAAAGUUUUGGAUCUAUGGUAGAUGACAGCAAAGGUUCGAUAGAAAUCAGUGGAAGUUGCUGCAAAUAUGUGUUGUCUUAUAAGAGCAGAAUUGUUGUCGAAGAAACAAUGGUUUCUCGAUGAAAUUUUCGCCAAAAACUUAAGAGCUUUGAGGAGGGAAUUGAUAGAAAUAUCUCAGUUUAUAUGACAGCAAGGAUGUCCAAUUUAAUCAAGAAAAUUUCGACAGUAAUAGCAAGAAAAUUGGUGCAAGUUGUGAUAGAAGAAUUCUCGUCGAAAAAUUUUAGCGACUUACGACAAAAAUUUGUAGCAACACAAAAUCAUUUUUAGAGAUAAAUUCCUCAAUAGAUCAAUCUUAGAUGGAAGCCAAGAUGAUCUAUAAAGCGUAUAAGAAAUUUCAUUCAAAAAAGAUUGCAAAUUGAUAGGUUAAGGCAACAAUAUGCGGCUGAAAGUUUUUGCAGCACAGAUUUUCGAGUGUAGCAGAUUGGAUGUAAAAGAUCAGUAGUUUAUAUUAAGAAUUUUUCGACAAAACUAAAGGGAAAUCCACUGUUAGGAAGUGUCAAAGCUAUCAUAAAAAUUUCGUAGAGAUUUAGACAGAAACAAUGUAGUAUCAAGAUCAAACAAACAGUGCUAUGCGGCUGAAAUUUUACAGUGCAGAUUUUCAAGUACUGUAGAUUAGACGUAAAAGAUCAAUGGUUUAUAUUAAGAAUUUUUUGAUAAAUCUAAAGGAAAAUCUUCUGUUAGGAAGUGUCAAAGAUGUCAUAAAAAUUUCGCAGAAAUUUGGAUAGAAAAAACACAGUAGCGAGAUCAAACAGACGGUGCUAUGCGGUUGGAAUUCUGCAAUGUAUCUUUUGUCGUAGAGAUGAAAACUUUACGAUAAAAAGAUUAUGCAGCAAUAUAGGAACAAAUUUUUUUUUGGAUUUUCGAAUAAGGAUAAUUAAAUUACAGCAGCAGUAAGGUAGGAAACCAGAACCUGUUGCAAUUCACGGGGAGAUCAAAAGAUGAUCUGCAGUGGUGGAGAUGACGAUGGAAUUUGGCGACGAUCUUUUAAGCAAUUGUAGGAAUUGCUUUGGGCGGCUGUGGAGGGUUGAUGGAUGGUUGUGGAAGGGCAGCGAGAUGCCAAGAACGCUGCUCUGAUACCAGGUGUUAGAACCCUUGCAGAUUCUAUAGGGGUUCCUUCCUCCAAGUUGCUGCUCAAAGGCUGCAGAAAAUAUUCAUCUAUUGCUUAUGAAAAAAGGAGGAAUACAUGGCUAUUUAUAGGGUUUCUAAACCCUAACUCCUAAUAGGACUCCUACUUCUAACCAANNNNNNNNNNNNNNNNNNNNNNNNNNNNNNNNNNNNNNNNNNNNNNNNNNNNNNNNNNNNNNNNNNNNNNNNNNNNNNNNNNNNNNNNNNNNNNNNNNNNNNNNNNNNNNNNNNNNNNNNNNNNNNNNNNNNNNNNNNNNNNNNNNNNNNNNNNNNNNNNNNNNNNNNNNNNNNNNNNNNNNNNNNNNNNNNNNNNNNNNNNNNNNNNNNNNNNNNNNNNNNNNNNNNNNNNNNNNNNNNNNNNNNNNNNNNNNNNNNNNNNNNNNNNNNNNNNNNNNNNNNNNNNNNNNNNNNNNNNNNNNNNNNNNNNNNNNNNNNNNNNNNNNNNNNNNNNNNNNNNNNNNNNNNNNNNNNNNNNNNNNNNNNNNNNNNNNNNNNNNNNNNNNNNNNNNNNNNNNNNNNNNNNNNNNNNNNNNNNNNNNNNNNNNNNNNNNNNNNNNNNNNNNNNNNNNNNNNNNNNNNNNNNNNNNNNNNNNNNNNNNNNNNNNNNNNNNNNNNNNNNNNNNNNNNNNNNNNNNNNNNNNNNNNNNNNNNNNNNNNNNNNNNNNNNNNNNNNNNNNNNNNNNNNNNNNNNNNNNNNNNNNNNNNNNNNNNNNNNNNNNNNNNNNNNNNNNNNNNNNNNNNNNNNNNNNNNNNNNNNNNNNNNNNNNNNNNNNNNNNNNNNNNNNNNNNNNNNNNNNNNNNNNNNNNNNNNNNNNNNNNNNNNNNNNNNNNNNNNNNNNNNNNNNNNNNNNNNNNNNNNNNNNNNNNNNNNNNNNNNNNNNNNNNNNNNNNNNNNNNNNNNNNNNNNNNNNNNNNNNNNNNNNNNNNNNNNNNNNNNNNNNNNNNNNNNNNNNNNNNNNNNNNNNNNNNNNNNNNNNNNNNNNNNNNNNNNNNNNNNNNNNNNNNNNNNNNNNNNNNNNNNNNNNNNNNNNNNNNNNNNNNNNNNNNNNNNNNNNNNNNNNNNNNNNNNNNNNNNNNNNNNNNNNNNNNNNNNNNNNNNNNNNNNNNNNNNNNNNNNNNNNNNNNNNNNNNNNNNNNNNNNNNNNNNNNNNNNNNNNNNNNNNNNNNNNNNNNNNNNNNNNNNNNNNNNNNNNNNNNNNNNNNNNNNNNNNNNNNNNNNNNNNNNNNNNNNNNNNNNNNNNNNNNNNNNNNNNNNNNNNNNNNNNNNNNNNNNNNNNNNNNNNNNNNNNNNNNNNNNNNNNNNNNNNNNNNNNNNNNNNNNNNNNNNNNNNNNNNNNNNNNNNNNNNNNNNNNNNNNNNNNNNNNNNNNNNNNNNNNNNNNNNNNNNNNNNNNNNNNNNNNNNNNNNNNNNNNNNNNNNNNNNNNNNNNNNNNNNNNNNNNNNNNNNNNNNNNNNNNNNNNNNNNNNNNNNNNNNNNNNNNNNNNNNNNNNNNNNNNNNNNNNNNNNNNNNNNNNNNNNNNNNNNNUGUCCCUCUCAAUUAGGACUCUCCUAGCUAGAGUCCUAACACGGACCUGAGGAGCGGUACCCGCCAAUUGAGAAACUUGUUCUGGCGCUCGUGCUGACAGCUCGAAAGCUGCGCCCCUACUUUCAAGCCCAUCCUAUCGAGGUAAUCACCGAUCGGUCGCUCCGCCAGGUUUUAUCUAAAUUCGACGUUGCAAGUCGGCUCCUCAAAUGGUCGGUGGAACUUGGCGAGUUCGACAUACAAUUCGUCCCGAGGACCGCCAUCAAAGCCUAAUUCGUAGCCGAUUUCAUAUCGGAACUGGCUCAAAUUGAGGAAGAGGGUCCUGAGCAGCUCGGGGAGUCAUGGGCUCUGCACGUGGACGGAUCGGCUACCUCGAGAGGUGCGGGGCUGGUGCUAUUAGCUCCCGACGGUCGCUCGUUCGAACACUCACUCCACUUCGGGUUCCCGACUACCAACAACGAGGCCGAAUAUGAGGUGCUACUGGCCGGACUCAGGCUGGCCCUCGAGAUGCAUGUGAAGUCCAUUCACGUCCUCACCGAUUCGCAACUGGUGGCCGAGCAACUCGGCGGCGGAUACGAGGCCAGAGAACCUACCAUGGCAAAGUACCUUGCAGAGGUAAAAAGCCUAGCCUCUCACUUCUCUCGCUUUUUGAUAUCCAGGGUGCCGAGGACCCAAAACCAACGAGCUGAUGAGCUGGCCAAACUGGCCUCAAGGUCUGAACUCGAGGUCCAGCCCAAGAUCGAGUUGCUCCCUUCCCGAGCCAUCUCGACCUUGGCAGUGGCUCCGAUUGACGGGCAAACUACGUGGGUACAGGAGAUGUUACGCUUCAAGCGGGACGGGAUCCUCCCCACUAACGAGGCCACGGCUCGUCGCAUGCGCCGUGUGCAAUCUUGGUACUCCGAGGUGAAUGGAUGGCUCUAUAAGAGGUCCUUCUCAUACCCCCUCCUACGGUGCCUCGAACCCGAGGAGGCUCGGUCGGUUCUGGUCGAGGUCCACGAAGGAAUUUGCGGGGAACACAUCGAUGGGCGAACCUUGGCGUACAAAAUCCUCCGCCAGGGGUACUAUUGGCCCACCAUAUCCAGAGACGCGAGACAUUACAUGCUACGGUGUGUCUCGUGCCAAAGGCAUGCCCGCACGCCCCGGCAGCUUGCGGUUCCACUCGCCCCUAUUGACAGUGCGUGGCCAUUCGCGCAAUGGGGGUUGGACCUACUCGGGCCUUUUCCCCCAGCCUCGGGACAGCGACGAUACAUUGUCGUGGGGGUGGACUACUUCACGAAGUGGGUUGAGGCCGAGCCGUUAGCAACGAUCACGGAACACCAAGUGGAAAAAAUUGUGUGGAAAAAUAUCAUAACUCGGUUUGGCCUGCCAAAGACCAUCAUCACCGACAACGGCACCCAGUUCGCCAGCGCGCGAUUCCAGGAGUUCUGUGCGAACUACAAGAUACGAUUGAGGUACAGCUCGGUAGCACACCCCCAGACGAAUGGCCUAGUAGAGGUGACCAACCGUUUCAUCCUAAGCGGGCUGAGAAGAAGGGUGUCUAGGGCCCGAGCGGCUUGGGCGGACGAGCUCCUAAGCAUUUUGUGGUCCUUGUGGACCACCCCCAAAACCGCGACCGGAGAAUCUCCCUACAGCCUCGCGUUCGGAACCGAGGCCGUCCUGCCACCGGAGGUGGUCUUCCCCACGAUUCGAACCGAGAACUAUGACGAGGGGACGUCAUAUCAAGGAUUACUCGCCGGUCUUGACUUCCUCGAGGAACGGCACGCGGAUGUGCAUUUGAAAGACCUCUCCUACAAGAGAGCCGUCGCCAGGAUCUACAACCGCAGGGUACGACCCCGACCGAUCAAAUUAGGUGAUCUAGUCCUACGCAAGGUCGAGGUCAGCGAGCCGACCCGAGCGCGCAGUAAGCUCGCUCCCAAUUGGGAGGGACCCUAUCGGGUUAGCAGCGUCGUCAGGGACGGCACGUAUCGGCUCGCAACCAUGCAAGGUUGCGUUCUGCCGAGAACGUGGAACGUGCAAAACCUUAGGAAGUUUUAUGUAUAGUUGGAGACAAAACGGUCAAAACAGAAACCUGAAACAAAAACCUUUUAUUCCGAAUAAAAGCCAGGUUACAGGGUCGGGCAAAAUACAAGCGUCAACCGACGCCAGACCAAUCCCCUAAGAGACCGUUAUAGCCUUAUAUCCUAUCCUUUGGGGGCUUCAGAGCUGUCGUCGAAGGGGACUUCAUCUGGCAUGUCGACGCUUGCGUCUUCGGGGCAGGAGGCAAAGGGGUUUUCUUCGACCUCCGAACCGGGGUGGCGCGCCUUGAAGCGGGCCAGGGCGACCCGGUACCCGCAUUCGUACGUGAUCUGCCCCGACCGGACCAAGCCGAGCUGAAAGCCCGAGGACUCUUUAUAGUCCUCGAUCAGCUUCUUGUCCCUCUCCGGACGCUGCUGCAUCUCGGCAGCCAGAGCUUCAGAAGCCCUCUUCGCCUCGGCACGCGCCUCCUCCAACUUCUGAGUGAGGGCAACCGCCUCUUUAUUGGCCAAACGAACCUCGGUCCGUGCCGUCCUCAGGAACGCUUGGAGAUCAUUAUUCCUCUCCUCCGCCACUUUUACCUCGGAUUUCAGGCGGGUCCCCUCGGCCUCCAAAUCCGAGGCACGCUGCUCGGCAGCCUGUACCUCGGACUUGAGUCGCGUGACCUCCGCCUCCAGAUCCGAGGCACGCUGCUCGGCUGUCGCGACCGCCUCCGAGGCCGCCUCCGCGUGCACCUCCUCUAUUUGCCUUCGCAGCUUGACGUUACGGUCGAUCAAAACACCGAGUGCCCGACCUGCGUCACGCACGCGAUCCAUCAACGCUGGUGCAUAAUGCUGACGCUGCAAAGAAGUAGAGUCAGGACAACUGUGGCCCAGGUACAAAAAGGAACCCAAUAACAAGGUACUUACCCACAGCAGGGACUUUGCAGACUUGCUCAGCAAAACAUCCGAGGGCAGGACAUACAGUUCCCGAGCCAUAUCGGGAUGGAGCCCCCCUCGGACAAAUAAGGCCGCAGCCUCCCCGUCAGCCCAUACCCGGUCCCCGCGGGUCAGGCCCGUCCAUCGGGCCGCCAACGGGUCGGAGGGUUGGCCCUCCGGAAGUUCGCCCAUGGCCCGAGCUAGGUAAGGUUCGCCCGGUGCUCCCGAAGGGAGGCGACACAAAUCGCGGAUGGACGACUCCUGAGGCGCCUUCCCUGUCGCCUCCCUACUCGGGCCGGCCUCGCCCUGAACGAGGUCCCGUCGCCGGUCGCACCCGACGUGCUUGGUCGCUCCAUCCUCCGGCUGCGCCGACGGCAUGCUCGGUUUUCUUUUGAUACCGGUCUUCGCCUUCUUUUGAGGUCGACCGACCUCAAGUUGAACCGGCGCCUCCCUCGAGCCAACCCUCGGCUCGGCCAAUCGACACGGCCGACGAGGAAGGCCCCCCACGCACGGCGACGAGGUUCACCAUUUCUGCAUGAAAACACCGACCUCGAUCAGAAUACCAAGAACGCGAUUUCUGGAAAGCCCUAACACUACCCACUACUGGCAUACCUCGAGGCAUCGGGCUAAGACCCGCCUCGACCAACCACGCCUCGGUCAUCCUUCGAAUGACUUGGGAGGUCGGGAGUAUCUCCUUUAGACGGCGAAGGUCCCUCCGCUCUUCGUCGUUCAGGGUCGGGGCAGUGUUGUCGAUCGCGCGCGCGGCCCACCGGAGCCCGAAGCUCUAUCCCUCUGGACGAUAGACAUAAAAGAAGUGCUCCUUCCAUCCCUUGUUGCUGGAAGGAGCCCCGCUAACCCAAAAGCCUGGCCGAGCGGACAAAUAGUAGCCCCCCGACCCCUUGGAAAGAUGAAAACAGGAGAGGAAAAGAGAUCGGGUUGGGGUAAUAUGAGCGUAAUGGCACUCCCCCAGGAACGCCACCAAAUAUCGCUAGGAAUUAGGCGCUAUCUGCGACGGAGAAAGACGCCACCACGAGAUGCAGUAACUUAUAACAGGGUGCAGGGGGAGGCGUAAACUCGCCUCAAGGGCGUCUAUGGUUAGGGCAAAACCCUUCGGGAUAGGGUCGUGUGCUCCUCGGCUGCAUGUUGCCCAAGACCGCAAUCUCUGCGCGGCUUGCCCGCCUGAGUUGUGCUCCUCGGUUGCAUGUUGCCCGAGACCGCAACCUCUGCGCGGCUUGCCCGCCUGAGCUGGGCUCCUCGGCUGCAUGUUGCCCGAGACCACGACCUCUGCGCAGCUUGCCCGCCUGAGUUGUGCUCCUCGGCUGCAUGCUGCCCGAGACCGCAACCUCUACGCGGCCUGCCCGCCUGAGUCACCCCCCUCGGUCGCACGCUGUCCGAGACCACCGUGGCGUCGGCCCAGUCCUCAAGUAUCGAACUCCGUGGUCUCCGCGCCCCCAAUGAACGACCGGCAACCGCCCGGUGGGGAUAAUCUCUUAAAACUGAAGCCAUGCCUCGGACCCCCCUCUACGACCGACGCAUAGCUCCUUCGGGGGGGAAUAUGACGAGGGCAAUUAUGGCGAUUGGACUCGGGUGACAUCAGCACCCCCGGAUGACGCCCCACGCCUCAGCCGACUUGACAGCACCUAGCUAAAACAGACUGGAACGUCGGCCGAGGCACAUUAACUUCCUGCACAAGCUCGAUACCUUACGCCACGUCUACACCGAUGUCAUACGCUACCAGGAGUACGAUCCUGCUCCUCUCGAGCAGGCACCUCAGACAGGUAACCUUCCUUAUAAGAACCCUCUCGUUGAGGAGAAAAGGGAGAGGAAAAUUCCUCCACUACCAUUGACUGACUUGAUCGUCGGAGGGGUCGAGCCGAGACCCCUGACCCGACCUGUCUGCAGGUGCGAAGACGGAGCAACCCCGCUAGACGGCCAUCCCAGGAAAGACAACCGUCCCGCCGUCGACCUCGCGUAACGGAUCCAUCCAACUCGACGGACUCCCGGGCCUCGCAGGAAGAUCCCCUCGCAUUCCGACCCGAACCGAGCCGUGCCGACCCCGAGGCCCGGCUUAAAGUUGUUGACACCAACAAAACCCUAUAUUGUCUUACAUUCCUAAAGUAAUUUCAAUAAUGAGUGAUACCAUUUCAGCAAAUGCAACCUCAAAAGCAACUCAAAAUUGGUUAUUUUUAGUAUUUUCCUAAUAAAAAUUAUUGGUUUUGUUUACUGUUCGACAUGUAGCAUCGUAAUAAUAACUAGGUCACUGUGCAUUUAUUUGGUCUGUUUAAAUUGCUUUUUUUCCUAAAAUGCAGAAGACACUUUUCUGGUAUUAUCUUUUAACUACUUAAGCUCUAAAAUUCUAUUUGGAGAGCUUGGGAAAAUGUUUAGAUUGGGGAGCCAGCCUUGCGGGGAGUCAAGUGUGUGUGCCAUGAAAAUGAAAAGCAGUGUAUUUGAAGCAGAUCAGUCUCUUGAUGCUCAUAGCAGGGCCUUGUUGAAUAUGAUCUACAGGACUCAGCAUGGACUGUGUUUUAUGUGAUUUACAUUCUUUUUUUAUGAAUCAAAUUUAGCUUUUUUACUUGUGAUUUGAUCCAUUUAUUUUGAGAACUAUGUGGGAUAGAUUGCAUAUAUGUUUUGUGGAUUAAUUUUUACUUUGUAUUCGGUGUCUUGACCAUGAGGGUGGGCCUUGGUACAACGGUAAGAUUGCUCCUUUGUGAUCUGGGAGAUCAGGAUUUAAGUCAUGAAAAUAAUCUCUUUAAAUAUUUAAACGAAAGAUUGCAUAUAUUGAUCCUCUCUAGAUCCCGCAUUGGCGAGAGCUUCAUGUACAUGCUCUCAGAACUAUAAAAAAUUUCUUGCAGUUAAGGGUGGAAAGAGUUAAAUGAAAAUGAUGUGGCAUUUUCUGCAUCAGUCAAAUAAUCUAACUUGAGGUAUAAAUUGAAACCUUUGUUGGUGGAGAAAAAUUNNNNNNNNNNNNNNNNNNNNUGGAUAAAUUAUGUUUGAGAGAGAAACAUGGGCAUCAGCAAAAGGGAUCAUCAAGUGGUGAUGGAGAUUUUGGACAUUUUCGAGGUCACUUGCUCUUUGAGUUUCUUGAACAGGAUCCACCAUUCAUUCGUGAACCUUUAUCUGAUAAGGUGUUUACAUCUUGUUUACACAAGUAAAACAAAUUCGAUUUUCUGGUCUUGUUUGUGAUGUUUAUUUAAGUAUGUUCCUUCAGAUUUCAGAUCUUGCACGGUGUUUCCCUGCAUUGAAGUCCCUUCGAAGUUGUGAUCUUUUGCCAUCCAGUUGGAUAUCAGUUGCAUGGUGAGAUUCAGAUCGACUGAAAAAGUAUUUGAAAAAUAAAUAUUGAUUUUGUGUAGCUUGCUUGUGUUUAAGGUAUCCUAUAUAUCGAAUUCCUAAUGGCCCUACAUUGAAGGAUCUGGAUGCUUGCUUUUUGACCUUUCAUUCUCUUUCCACACUGAUGAAAGGUAACUAUCAUCUUUUGCACUGUCUUUUAUUCCUCUCCUUACUAGAUGAACAUGUACAAAACAUUAUGCUUGAAAUAAAUAUGGUCUAAUCAAAAUUAUGUUUGUUCUGGCUUGACGAUUUUGUCCUAAAUUGAUGUGGAAUGCUGCUACUUGGCAUUGUUGUUUUGACUUUUAAAUGUUGCAAGACAAAUUAUUAAGCAUACUGAAAAAUUAUUAAGCGUAAAUUUUGGUCGACUUCACCUCUUUGCACAAUUUAUCAAUUGAACAAGCUUAAUUCGGAGAUUAGCUAAUCAUCUACCUAUAAUAAAUGGCUAGCUAGUGAUAAUUUGCAUCUUAGUGAAGCCUCAUUCAGUCUAUGCUCAAGCUUAAUUCAAGGUUAAAUGUUGAACUUGUUUCAGGGUUGUCGGACUUGGGCUCAAGCAUACGUAGAACACGUUAAGAUUUGUAAUUCCAAAAGCACUUUUGUACAUUCUCACCAUGCACAAACCAAUAUUUACGUGCAAAUGACACCACAAAAGUCACUCGAAGUACUUGGCAAAAACUACUGCUGAACGAGAGCUUCCAAGGCAACAGUUGCACCCAAAUCAGAGAGGCCAAAAGCUGCAGCAAACGACGUCCUUCUCUUUGCCCCUCUUCUUGCUCGCUGCUCCGCCUGUGAUCUCAACGGACCUUACCUCGGGCUUCUUCAUCUGCCGCUUGGGCACUAUCAAGGUGAGCACCCCGUUCUCGAUGGAGGCCUUCAUCUCAUCGGCCUUCGCAUCCUCCGGCAGCCGGAACCGCCUGUAGAACCUGCCGCGGCUCCUCUCCGAGCAGUGCCACUCGCACUUCUCCUUGUCAUCGAUCGGAUCCCCGCUUCGCUCGCCGCUUAUGGAGAGGACCCUGCCGUUCUCCACCUCCACCUUCACGUCCCCCUUUCUGACCCCCGGGAGGUCGGCCUUGAAGACAUGCGCCUCCGGGGUCUCCUUCCAGUCCAUGUGGAUGUCGUCUGCGCCGGAGUCAUCCGAGGGAAAGCCACGGAGUGCAUCGAAGAUGUUGCUGUGACGACCCAACAACAUGUUGUGGACGAGAGACAUAUUAGAUGCUGCUGCUGCGUCUGCUUCUUGAAGCUGAGAUAUGUAGCAAACUCCGGUGUCCAAAGUGAGGGUGGGAGUGUAUUUAUCGUUGGCGAUAGAUCAGUCCUUCAUCUGGAAGUGUCUCAUUGGUUGCUUCCAGCGUGGUAUUAUAUCUAUUCCACUAAUAAACGAGACAUUGGUGCUCCGGGCGUUUCGAGAAGCCUCUACGCCUUUCUUGUCAUGUCCACGUAGUUUGGGUGGGACCAGAUAGACCAAGUAAGAUAAUUCUUUGGAUGAAAUCUUGAUCGUCGAAAGAAUUAUUUAUUAAUAUUAUUAUGAUUUGAUUGAAAUCAAUCAAUUCCAAACCAAUUAUUUUAAUUUUAAAUCAAUUAAAUAUAAUAAAAAAAAUAACACAUAAAACAUUGUACCUUAGGAGGUUAAAUCUUUAUGUCUAAAAUCAAUUAACUUGGAUUUGAAUCUUCAAAUAACCAUUUAAUUUGAUUAAAUUUUCAUUGCACUCGUCAUAAUUAUAUGCCUAUUCUUUAAAAUUAUAAUUUUUAUAUUUAUAAUUAAAUUUAAUUAAAAAUAAAUAAAAAAAACAAUUCUAAUCAAAAUCGAAACCGUUCGAACCGAUCCUAAUUUUUUAUAAUUUUAUUUUUAAUCAAUUUUUUUAAAUCAUUACACUCAUCAUAUAUUUUUUAAAAUUUUAAAAUAAAAGUAUUCAUUUUUUUCUAUUUUAAAUCAUUUUUAAUAAUAAAAAAUAAAAAAAAAAUUAACGACUCUGAUCGGAACCAAAACCUUCCGAACCAAUCGAAUCGACGGUUUGGUUCCUAACAAUACGAAUCCGAAUCAAAAAUUAUUCUGAUGUCAAAAUCGAUCGUUCUGGAUCCAUCCACGAUCACGAUUAGGUACAAGGCCAGAUGCAUGCACCGGUGAAGACUUACCGCUGGAUUCAGUAUCGAUUCUGUGGGCAAGACGGGAUAAGAAAAAUUAUUAUUCUGGGUACCUAACGAUUGAUGAUGACACAUCAGGCGGCUUAAAACAAAAUAAAGAAUAGAACAGAGGUGAAAUAUACUGGAAGACUUGAGCACCUUCCAGAAUCCGCCUGCCGACCUUGACCAACGACUUAUUGCCUCGGCAUCGACGCUAUAAAAUACUCAUCGUCCUUAACUCACCAAGAACAAGGAAAAGAAAUCCACAGCUUAGCAACGCAUCCUACGCUACCACCAGAAAUCCUUCAAAGGCAUUUGCAACCAUGCCGAUCGUGAGGCGCAGCAACAUCUUUGAUCCCAUCUCUGUCGACGUUUUCAACACCUUCCCCGGCUUCGCGAGCGAAACCUCCGCCUUCGCCAACACCCGCAUCGACCGGAAGGAGACGCUCGAUGCCCACAUCUUCAAGGCCGACCUCGCCGGGGUGAACAAGGAGGAGGUGGAGAAACGCAGGGUCCUUCAGAUCAGCAGCGUGCGGAACGAGGAGCAGAAGGAGAAGAACGACAAAAGGCACAGCGUGGAGAGGAGGUUCCGGCAGUCGGAGAACGAGCAGGUUCUGGCUCGGCGUACGGUGCGAUGUCAUUCCGGGUUUACCGAGUCCGGUCGUGCCGUACAGAGACUUGAGAUUCGUUUCUCGUGUAAUGUGACGUAUAGCAGUAGCCGUGACGUGACGUGUUCUGAGGGCACAGUUGAGAAGCCCGACGGCAAGUCCCUAAGGAGGAAGGAGGAAGUUAAGGAGCCCGACGGCAAGUCCCUAAGGAGGAAGGAGGAAGUUAAGGAGCCCGACGGCAAGUCCCUAAGGAGGAAGGAGGAAGUUAAGGAGCCCGACGGCAAGUCCCUAAGGAGGAAGGAGGAAGUUAAGGAGCCCGACGGCAAGUCCCUAAGGAGGAAGGAGGAAGUUAAGGAGCCCGACGGCAAGUCCCUAAGGAGGAAGGAGGAAGUUAAGGAGCCCGACGGCAAGUCCCUAAGGAGGAAGGAGGAAGGAGGAAGUUAAGGAGCCCGANNNNNNNNNNNNNNNNNNNNNNNNNNNNNNNNNNNNNNNNNNNNNNNNNNNNNNNNNNNNNNNNNNNNNNNNNNNNNNNNNNNNNNNNNNNNNNNNNNNNNNNNNNNNNNNNNNNNNNNNNNNNNNNNNNNNNNNNNNNNNNNNNNNNNNNNNNNNNNNNNNNNNNNNNNNNNNNNNNNNNNNNNNNNNNNNNNNNNNNNNNNNNNNNNNNNNNNNNNNNNNNNNNNNNNNNNNNNNNNNNNNNNNNNNNNNNNNNNNNNNNNNNNNNNNNNNNNNNNNNNNNNNNNNNNNNNNNNNNNNNNNNNNNNNNNNNNNNNNNNNNNNNNNNNNNNNNNNNNNNNNNNNNNNNNNNNNNNNNNNNNNNNNNNNNNNNNNNNNNNNNNNNNNNNNNNNNNNNNNNNNNNNNNNNNNNNNNNNNNNNNNNNNNNNNNNNNNNNNNNNNNNNNNNNNNNNNNNNNNNNNNNNNNNNNNNNNNNNNNNNNNNGGAAGGAGGAAGGAGGAAGUUAAGAAGCCCGACGUGAAGUCCAUCGAGAUCUGAGCUCUGAUGCAUGCCGGAGAAACCCAUAGCUGAGCUUGCGACCUAUCCAAAUAAGUCUCUGUGGCAGUCGAGUGAGUGUGUCCGUCCUAUGUCUAAGUGUGCUAUUUGGUUCGUGUCUUUCUGUGUCCAAGUAGUCGGUCGACUUUGGGAACUCUGCAUUGCUCUCGCGGUAAUAACGUUUGUCAUGGAAGUAUUUCUUAAUUAAAUACGAGUCGGUCUAGUUCAUCCGUUUCAUAUGUUUCAACUUCGGGAACUCUGCCUUGCUCUCGCAGUGAUGACGUUAGUAAUGGAAGUAUUCCUUAAAUAUUAGUCGUUUCAUAUGUUUCGACAUGAAGAGAAGUAGUAACCAAAAUGAACAGAUAAGAAUGACCAACUGGCUAACAAAAACAACAUCAUCAUCAUCAUUCUGCAUACUUAUCUUCUUCCAUUGUGCGUAAGACGUGACGCACCGCACAAUCCACGAGAACGUGACCCCGCAAGCUUAUCUUCUUCCAUUGUGGGUAAGACGAGACGCACCGCCCGUUUUCCUCUGUCCGUUUAUCAUAUAUUCAAAGGGCCGUUGCGACGUGCGAGACCCUCUCUCUUGACCCUCUGUUUCCGCGAUCAUCGGCGAAACUUCGCAACCCUCUCUUGACCCUCUCUUUCCGUAUUCAAAGGGCCGUUGCGAAGUGCGGGACCCUCUCUCUUGACCCUCUCUUUCCGCGAUCAUCGGCGAAACUUCGCAACCCUCUCUUAACCCUCUCUUUCCGCGAUCAUCGGCGAAUUUUUCUCGAUCUACUGCUUGCU